rnacentral:lncRNA from 1 species
GCAUAUAUGGAGGUCCUCUGCUGGGUGGGUGAAACAGUCCAUACUCCACAGUUUUGUUUCUGAGAUAUUAGAGUAAACCAAUAUAAAGAGCACAUUUUACUUCACAAUAUUUGUGAACCUAUGCUCCUGGGUUGUCACGUCCUCAUGGUCGAAUGCGUUGAGUGCGGUGCACUUGCUCUACUCAAUCACAAUUACUUGUCUUUGAGCAGCCACCACUCGAAGUGCUUCCCUAUUAGUUUCCCCAUGGGCAACAUGGGUACUUGAAGACCAAUGUCAACUUCAUCAGCGCAAACAAGGCGAUAUGUUGUGUGAGGAUGUUCCAGUGGUACUUCUGAGUUGGUAGGCUAUUUUGUUGUGCGUGGUGGUUGAUGAUACCAGGUUUUUCGCUCCACAGUAUAUCGUUCCUGAUGACAGACGUAGAUGGUGGGUUUCCUGGUAUUGUCACGAGCUCGCUUCUUUCCUUUCCCUUCUUUCUAUUUCUGAUCCGAAAGACAAUGUAUUUCUGUUAUGAUAAAAUGGAAAUGGGAGGAGCCCGGUUCGGAAAAAAAAAAUCAGCGCAAACAACGAAAUGCAUAUGGAAACCUCUUGUGUUUCUACUCUCCGCAAUACUGAAACUCUCAGAGAACUUACACAUCACAAGCAUGGUUUACGAGGAACAUCGAAAUGCAUGCACAUAGCACGCUGCAUCCUCUAACAGAAGUCGAUCUAGUUCAUUUUGCUCUCAUUGAAAAGAAGGCGUUCAGGGUUUACGCAUUACAAAACAUGCCAUGGUCUAACAGAAAGAUGAAAAAUAGUAUUUUUACAGUACCAAGAUGAAAAAUAGUACACAUGUAAGUCGUACGUGAUUUAUUCCUAAACAUAGUCAACUUCAUUUGAUAGAGGUUCCAUCAUGCAUGCAGCCGUGAGCCGUCCAACAGAGUUAGGCUGCGUUUCCAGUUCCAGCAAAACCAUACCGACUGUAGGGGGACAUAGUCGCUGAUCGGAUCGAAUUAGGCUCGCAAGUGUUCAUCAUGCCUGGAGCUGGCCAAACCUACUACUCCUCGCCGGCCCCUUCUGCUUGCCCGCGUUCGACAUCGCAAAUGCCAUUUAGCGCGACACGCGCAGCCACCAGAACCACAUGAUGAUGGAGCCGCCCCAGCUGCCACCCCUAGGCAAGCUCGCGCCACCCUCGUCCACCUACGGAACGGACCGCCCGCCCGCCCCCGUCACGCUGGUAGCAGGUACUGCGUGGGCUGCUUGCCUGCUUCCGCCCGAUUCCAGGCUCUAGGGGACGCCGUCACCGCUCAAUUCCACGCCUCCCUCAACCGCCUUUGCCACUAAAAUGGACGGGAGAUGAGACGACUCUAGAGGACGGGCAGGACCCCAUUGCUGCUCGAUUGUGCGCUCUCUUGUCCCAGGAGCUGCUACUCCUCGAGUCCACAGCGUGUUGGAGUCUCAGACGCCAGCGUGCAACGGAGCACCACGCCCAGCUGCAAGGAGGGCUUCUUAGCGUGGGGGAACAGCGGGGUAGAAGUUACUAGUCAUAGGCAUAGGGUUGCCUAUGUGAUUGUGCACGCGCAAAGGGCGGCGAGCAUGCGUCAGAUGUUGUGCACGGUUGAGGUGAUGGUCGGCGGGGAUAGAGCUGGUGAAUGGAGGACCGUGGGAGAGAGAUGAGGAGGAAGGAAGGCGAAAAAUGGGGGGAAAAGAUGAGUGGAUGACUGGUGGGAACUCAUCAACCUAGCCGGAUCAAACAUUGACUUGGUUAGUGUCGUGGGUAUAAGCCUGACAAUAGAUGUCUAGGGUACGAAAGGAUGGAUAGAGCCUUAGCUACGGCGAGGUUAUAUGAGUUCAGGCCCCUCUACGGUGGAGGUAAAAGCCCUACGUCUCAGUCCUCUUGGGAGCUUGUUGUCGAGUGGAAUAUGGAUUACAGUGAAUUGUUAACCCCUGCACCAGUGGGGAAGGCGGCUUAUAUAGAGUGCGCUACCCUUCACAACGGUUCGGUGCACAGGGGGUGGAGUAGUGGUGAAUAACUGCAUACGUUACAGGUAACAUAUGUCUUAAAAUGCUAAGAAAGGUAUAUGGAAACGUAUGACCGUUGUCCUCCAGGGGGGGUUACGAUGUACAGAGUGGAAUCCAGUCGGUAAGCUUGAUACGCUCCGAAUGCUCAUCUCCGACUGGAUGAUGGAGGAAUCGUUACCGACUGGAUGAUGGGAAGUCCUUAAUUCAGUCGGAACUGACUAAGGGCCUUGUCCUUUAUGAAGGGUAGUCCUUGGGUAGGCCCCACAGGACAGGCCUAUGACCCUACCCUAGGACUAUAACCCCAUCAUUAGUCCCCGAAUGGAUUGGGGUUGGAACGACGAGGCGAUGCUUGGAGUACGGAUCCGACUGGUACGGAUGCGACUUUGGCGUUGUUUGCCUCGAUCCAUUUUAUCUUCUUGACCAGUGAUUCGAGUGGAUGUAUUUGUGAAACGAACCGUCAGGGACCGAAUGCUUCUGUGGUAUCUUUUGACGUGACCAGUCAACUGACAGCGGCGGAUUUUCCGGGAUACUCAAAUUUCGGUUGCCGCGCGCUUAGCGGGGGUGACGACAUCGUAAUCGAGUAGUAUAUGCCGCCUCGAUUUCCGCGCCUUCAUCUCCUCCACUAAUAUCGCAGCGGCCGGUCGGGGAUGAGAUUUCGGGGCCACCUGCUAGUGACUCAGUCGGAACCUUAUUUAAACCUCUACAGCGAGGGUUUUCGUUGCACUCGCCUGAUAGCUCACACUUGCCCCGCUUCUCUCGUCACCUCCUGCGCAUCUCAAGCUCCUUGCUUCUCCUUCUCCCCCGCGGGUCUGCAGCCUCCACCAUGACAAAGGGGCAGACGAGCAAGCUCGAGGCGCGGAAGAAGAAGGGGAAGGCGGCGGCUCCUGCUCAGCGGCGGCAGCGAGCACUGCCGACGGGUUGGAUCCAGGGGGGAUUUCCUCCCCUCCACGAUGACGGAGGAGGACAUGCUGGAGCUGGUGGAGCACGGCAUGAUCGAGCACAAGACGUGGAGGUUGCGGGCGGAGGGCGAGACCGAGCCGGGCGUCUUGCUGCUCAGCCACGUGCACCGAGGCUUCUCUCUGCCUCCUCAUCCCUUCUUCAGAGGUAUACUGAACCACUUCAGGGCGCAGCUCCACCAUUUUCCUCCCAACGCAAUAGCUCAUCUCUCUGCCUUCGUCGUGCUGUGCGAGUGUUUUAUCGGCUGUCCUCCCCAUUGGGGGCUUUUUAAGCACAUCUUCUCUGCUAGAUCUCAAACCAUCAAAAGGCUGAGCCAGUCGGAUGACAAAACUCACUUCCUCCAGCUCUGCGGAGGCUUAGGCUGCCAAAAGAAAAGUAAAAGUAGCUAUCCCGCUCUUCAGUUGUCUGAAUCCGUUAGGAACUGGCAGUCGACUUGGUUUUACUGCCAAGACGUUGCUGGCCCAAAUGCUGCCACUGGACUACCACCUUUUAGCUUAGACCGACCAGCUCCGCCUAGGCAGCUCGCGCUCACGAAGAUGGAGAAGAUCCAGAUCCAGCCUCUGGUCGAUGCGCUUGUAGAGGUCGUCCGAAAGGGAGUCACUGGCAUAGAUUUGCUGGAGGUUUUUCUGGGUCGGCGUAUCCAGCCUUUGCAAGCUCGACACCACGCUAUGUGGCACUACACGGGGCCUGAGGACUCCACUCGGACUAACCCCGAGUGCGUGACCGGGGAGCUGGUGGCGUCGUGGGUCCUCAACAUCACAGGCGCCUGCGAUAAUCCCAGAGGAGCCCGGCGAGUGAAGCCCUUCCGCGCGGACAACCCUCCUCCGAAUGAGGUGAGUAUAACUUGUCGAGUGCACCCAAUUGUUUUAGAUUUAUCGCUUUUUCUUGUAUUACUGUGUGACGUCUGAUGUUGUCGACUGUAUCUCGUGCAGGCGUGGACCAACUGGUUUUCUCCUGUCUCGAACGGGAAUCCGGCCGAGGAGGAGGAAGGUAGCCAGGAGGGCAGCGUGGAGAGCGUCGAGUACGUCUCCGACAGUGGGGAGACGGAGGGGGAGUCCGAAGAAGAAGAGGAGGAAAAUGAGGAACAGAACUCGCCACCCCCACCACCAGAGCCUCGAACUAAACGCCGCCACGAACCCGUGGCUCCGUCGGCUCCCCCAGCGGCCUCGAGUGCCCCGCAGCAUCUCCUGUGGUUCCGAGUGCCUCGCCAGCUACUCCCGUGGUUCCGAGUGCUCGGAGCACAAAGAGGACCAGGGACUCUGCUGCUGAGCCCGCGGGCCAGCCCUCUAAGGUGGCCAAACCGAGUGGAUCCAAGCCUCGGAAGGUUUUGCCGCGGAUGAGGAUCGCCGUUCCCGUCGCCUCAGCGUAAGUGCAUUGUUCUUCUAUCUUCUUCCAGUAUUUGAUUGAACUCAUGCUUAUUGGUCGAAUGAAUUUAACUUGACAGAGCUGCCACCUCUGCCACUUCUCUGCCGCGCCAGGAAGACGAUCCCAUGGAUACAGACAAUGUUGUCACGUCCCAGCAAGGUACGUCGUUGCGACUCCGAGAGCUUACAUUAUUGUUUCACGAAUUCUGUCUUUGGUCUUGUCCUUUUUCCUGUGGUCUCACGUCGUUUGGUCGGGCUUCCUUCAGAGGUGAUCCAUGUGGAGGAGGACGAUCAGAAGAGGUCCGAGCAAGCUGCGGCGCCCGUCAUUGAGGCCGUUCCGUCUGUUACCACUCCUGCCAUGGAAACGCCGCCAACUGAGACGAUGUCGUCGACUAACACGGCGCUCAUCGUUGUGGAACCGACUGGAGCAGGACUUGGGAUGCCCAAGGAGUCUCUUGUGGUGCCAGGUCCGUCGAUCGUCCAGUUCGACGCCCGGCGCCUUCCGGAAGAUCAGGUGGGAGCUGCCAAGGGGGCCAUGGUGCAGGCAGAGUUGAUGGCGGGUGAUGCCAAGAGAGCGUACGACUCCAUCGCGUCUGUGUACAAGCGAAGCUUGGAACUCCGGGACGAUAUCCGAGUAAGUGGGCUAGUAUGUAUUUGCUUUCCCCUUGUAACCCACUGGGUGUUUAAGCCAGAUACUCGGAUACAGAAUGAUUAGUUUGCGGUGGGUUCACUCUUAGUGAACCCAGUGGGUGUAGUCCUCGAGACUUCUGUCGAGUGCUUGCACCGGCAGUUGUCUUUAUAUAAUUUUUUUUAACUUGAUCAGAUCAAAACUAAUCUGUUCGAAUGUUACCGGUGGGGGGCAUUCCGAGUGCACCUACUGGAUUAGUCCCCGAGAGUAAUUUUACUCAGGUCGGGUAGUAGUAGCCUCAUAGGCUUGAUUUUGUUAUGUAUCUCAAUAGGGCUGACAUGUUUGAGCGUCAUGCCAGUGGGGUCACUCUUAGUGAACCCACUGGGUGUAGUCCCCGAGACCGCUGUCGAUUGCUUGCAUUGACAGGGGUCUGAAGUCCUUGGAGGAGUCCCGUGAGGCAAACAAGGCAUUGGUGGCCGAAGUGGAGAAAAUGGGGAAACAAAGAACUGAGCUGAUGGGACAGAUGCAGGUGAUGAACAGGCGGCGCAUAGCACAGGAGAAGUACGUCAGUGACUGGGCAAGGCAGAUGAUUGCGCUUCUCGGUGGUAAGUUCUGUUUUUUCCGAGUGUUUGUUGACUGUGUAGUUCAUUCUGCGCUUACUUGUUGCUCGUCUUGUCUUUGUAGAUUUUUGUAUGGACGCUGAGGUUGAAGCACCUGACGUUGAGCGGUCGGUUAUUCCGAACGUUCCACUCGGCGACGACGCCAAUCGAGACAUGCUCUGAGCGCACAUUCGCCUGGGUAAAGUGGGACCUUUCAUCGGUCGACUAAGAGAGGUCGUCGGCCGAAUCGACAAGGAGCUGGGACCCGAAGACGAGUCUCGGCAAGAGAUGGAAGGGUUGAUGACUCGGCUGGAGGAGGUCCCGAACCGAGUGCAGGCGUGGAAGAAGUCUGCGGCUCGCUGUGGUGCGGACGUGGCGCUGUCGCUGGUCCGAGUGCACUGCAAGUAGGCUCACGAAGAGAAGUUGAAGGCGUUGCAGGUCGCAAACACCAAGAAGCUUCGAUUCGAAGAUUUCAUUGAGACCUUCCUUGAGAGUACCACUCGCAUCGCAGACGGGAUCGACCUCGACACUUUCGUGGAGCCUGCCAGUCCCAGUGCCAGUCCUGAUGACUCUUGAGAAAACUUUUACCUCGGUAUGCCGAGUGUUAGUUGUAUGAAACUUUGGCCACUGUUGUUGGCCGUCACAUUUGUGGUUUGGUGUGGAUAAGCUUGAUCUACACAGAACCAACUAUCUUUAGACGAACUUUGAAUUUGAAUCGAAUCUUUUGCUCUUCCUUUGCCAAAAAGUUGUUGACACGAUUUUGGCUCGUGGUUUUUGUUUGGCGUUUCUUGGUGAAGCCAAUGGCAAACAUGCGGAGCAUGUAAUUGUCAGUUGUCUUGACAUCUGCAUGAACCUCACUGAGGGUCUGCUGGGUCUUCGAGUGGAUCUGUAGGAUACACUCGAAGGCAAUUGUGUACUUAGGCGAUUCGUGAUCGCGGCUAAGUCUUCGAGUGCGACUGUAAGGUCAUACUCAGAGCGAGUUGUUACUCGUGUAAUUGUCAGUUGUCUUGACAUCUACAUGAGCCUCAAUGAGGUUCUGCUACUCAUGUAAUUGUCAGUUGUCUUGACAUCUACAUGAGCUUCGAUGAGGGUCUGCUAAGUCUCCGAGUGGAUCUGUAACAUACACUCGAAGGAAGCUUUCUAUUUAGGCGAUCCUUGAUCGCAGACAACGUCCCCAAGUGCGAUGUGUAGUGCGACAUUUGGAGAAAGUUAGUACUUAGGCGAUUCUGGAUCGCGUCUAAGUCCCCGAGUGCGACAUUUAAUGCACACUCGAAGAAAGUUUGNUUACUUUUUCUCCUGUAACCCGCUGGGUGUUUGUGUUUUUUGCAAUGGGUUCACUCCGAGUGAACCCAGUGGGUGUAGUCCCCGAGACAUCUGUCGAGUGCUUGCAUCGACAGUUGUCUUUAUACAUUUUGCCUUUAGUUUGGUUGUGUCCGUAGACAGGAUUUCCGAGUGCGAGUACUUGUUGCAGUCGGAGUGCUCUUGCGGUAAGAGUCUCCGAGAGUAAGUUGCACGCAGGUCGGGCAGUAUUGGCCUCUGAGGCGUAGGUGAAAAUAUGCAUCUCAAUAGGGCAGGCCUGCUUGAGGUGCAUUGCCAGUGGGGUCACUCUUAGUGAACCCACUGGGUGUAGUCCCCCGAGACCGCUGUCGAUUGCUUGCGUCGGCAGGGGUCUGAAGAACUUAGACUGUGAACUGAUAAACUUGCUGAUUACCCUUUGUUUCUUGGUGGCAGAAAACUUGUGAAAUGGGAACGGCCUAUGAGGCCCUGAGGGCGGAGAGGAACCAGUUCGCUGGUGAACUUGACGCUGCUAUGCUCGCCAUGGCCGGCAUGAAGGAUGCUCUGGAGGGACGAGAGAAGUCCCUGGAGGAGGCUCGGGAGGCGAACAAGGUGUUGACGGAGGAGGUGGAGAGAAUGAAGAAACAGAGGACUGCUCUGCACAAUCAGAUGGGCGUUCUGAACAGACGAUGUAUAGCUCAGGAGAAGUAUGUCAACGACUGGGCUGUGCAGAUGAUGACUCGUCUGGCUGGUAAGUCUUAUGUUUUGUCGAGUGCUUGUACCGUGUGCUGUACACUCGGUUUUUUAUUGUCUGCUUGCCCGUUUGUUGCAGACUUUUGCGGUGACGCUGAAGCUGAAGCGGCGGCUGUGGAGCGGUCCAUUAAGGACAAUGUGCCACUCGACGAGGACGCCAACCGGGAUCUGCUCCGGGCACAUAUCCGCGUAGGCAAAGUGAGUCCUUUCAUCGGCCGACUGAGAGAAGUCGUCGGCCGAAUUGACAAGGAACUUUGGCCAGAAGACGAGUCGCGGCAGGAGAUGGAGACCCUGAUGGCGCGGCUGGAGGAGAUUCCGAGCCGAGUGCAAUCGUGGAAGAAAUCGGCAGCGCGGUGUGGUGCUGAUGUUGCGCUGUCCUUGGUCCGAGUCCAUUGCAAGGAGGUGCGGGAAGAUAAGCUGAAGACAUUGAAGGUCGCCAACACGAAGAAGCUUCGAUUCGAAGACUUCAUGAAGACGUUCCUUGAGACUGCUACCCGCAUCGCUGAUGGAAUCGACUUGGACACUUUUGUGGAGCCCUCCAGUCCUGGCGCCGGCCCAGCUGACGCAUAAUAAAACUUUAUCCUCGGUAUGCCGAGUGUUUACCUGUAAGAUACUCUAGCCACUUCUGUUGGCUGUCAUACUUUUAAAUCGGUGCGGGUAAGCUUGAUCCGCACCGAGUCAGCUAUCAUUUCUAGACUUUUGGAAUCGGAAUGAAAACAUUUAGUCUUUUGUCUGAAUGUUGUUUCAAGUGCAACGCUUAGUGCAUACUCGGAGAAGAUUAAUACUUAGGUGAUUCUUGAUCACAGCUAAGUCCCCGAGUGUGACGCGUAGUGCACACUCGGAGGAAUGUUAGUACUUAGGUGAUUCUUGAUCACAGAUAAGUCUCUGAGUGCGACGCGUAGUGCGCACUCGGAGGAAGAUAUUACUUAGAUGAUUCUUGAUCACAUCUAAGUCUCCGAGUGUGACGCGUAGUGCACACUCGGAGGGUGUUAGUUCUUAGGUGAUUCUUGAUCACAGCUAAGUCCCCGAGUGUGACGCGUAGUGCGCACUCGGUGGAAAAUAUUACUUAGGUGAUUCGUGAUCACAUCUAAGUCUCCGAGUGCGACGUGUAGUGCACACUCGGAGGAAUUUAUUACUUAGGUGAUUCUUGAUCACAUCUAAGUCUCCGAGUGCGACGUGUAGUGCACACUCGGAGGAARUUAGUACUUAGGCGAUUCAGGAUCGCAGCUAAGUCUCCGAGUGCGAUGUUUAGUGCACACUCGGAGAAAGUUUGUACUUAGGCGAUUCUUGAUCGCAGCUUAAGUCCCCGAGUGCGACGUUUAGUGCACACUCGGAGAAAGUUUGUACUUAGGCGAUUCUUGAUCGCAGCUAAGUCCCCGAGUGUGACGUUUAGUGCACACUCGGAGAAAGUUUGUACUUAGGCGAUUCUGGAUCGUAGCUAAGUUUUUGUUUUUGAGACCGGAGUCUGCGACCGCGGAAGAAUUUUGAAUCUGCAAAAACUCAAUCUUCUUUGUAUUACUUCAACGAUACUUGUUCUUUACAUUGCUUCAGUCGACGGUCACGUGUAGAAGCGCUUCAGGAGAUCUCCGUUCCAUGCUCGCGGCUCGUCCAUUUCCCUGUCAAGGUUGUAGAGUCGAUAUGCUCUGUUGUUCCGCACCUUGGAGAUGAUGAAGGGUCCUUCCCAGGCGGGAGCCAACUUGUGAGGUCUCUGCUGAUCCACUCGGAGCACCAGGUCGCCUGCUUGGAAUGUACGACUCCUGACGUGUCCCGCGUGGAACCGCCGCAGGUCUUGUUGAUAAAUGGUUGAGAGAGUCAGUGCCAUCUCACGCUCCUCCUCUAGAAGAUCCACUCCGUCUUGCCUUGCUUGCUCUGCUUCAGCUUCGGAGAAGAGUUCAACUCGUGAAGCAUUGUGAAGCAAGUCACUCGGAAGAACUGCCUCUGCUUCGUAAACGAGGAAGAACGGGGAUCGCCCUGUAGAUCUAUUUGGGGUUGUGCGGAGACCCCAAAGCACCGAAGGCAGCUCGGUGACCCAUGCGCCGGCGGCAUGCCCCACUUCUCGCAGGAGUCGAGGCUUCAAACCUUGUAGAAUAAGUCCAUUCGCCCGCUCUACUUGCCCGUUUGUUUGGGGAUGCGCCACAGAUGCAAAAUCCACUCGGAUACCUUGGCAUGUACAGAAACCUUUGAAUCUGUCCGAGUCAAAGUUUGUUCCAUUGUCAGUGAUUAUGCUAUGGGGUACCUCGAAUCUGGAGAUGAUGUCCCUGACAAACUUGAUGGCCGUAAGGGCGUCGAGCUUUUUUGAUGGGCUUGGCUUCAAUCCACUUUGUGAACUUGUCGACUGCCACCAAUAGAUGUGUGAAUCCCCCCUUGGCCUGUCCUGAAUGGACCGACUGUAUCUAAUCCCCAUACUGCAAACGGCCAAACAAGAGGGAUUGUCUUCAACGCAGAUGUUGGUUUGUGGGACUUGUUAGAGUAGAACUGACAGCCUUCACAUUGGUCGACCAUAUCUUUCGCCAUUUCAUUCGCCUGCAGCCAAAAGAAGCCAGCUCUGAAUGCUUUGGCGACGAUUGCCCUUGAGGAGGCGUGAUGACCACAGGUUCCCGAGUGAAUUUCUUCCAGGAUUAACUAUCCCUCCUCAGGAGAGAUGCAUCGUUGAAGGACGCCUGAAACGCUUUCUUUGUACAACUGGCCAUCAAUGACAGUGAACGACUUUGACCUUCGGACGAUCUGUCUUGCUUGGACUUCGUCUUCUGGUAAUUCUUGCCUCAGGAUGUAUGCAAUAAAUGGCACAAUCCAAUCGGGGAUGAUAGCAAGAACCUCCAUGAUCAAAUCAACCACAGCAGGGACUUCGACUUAAGUCGGAUCUGUCGAGCUCUUUAGUUGUACUGGUUCCUCUGUGAAAGGAUCUUCUUUAACUGAGGGAAGGUGGAGGUGCUCGAGGCAGACGUCACUCGGGACUGGUCUCUGAGUGGAUCCGAGUUUUGCCAACUCAUCAGCUGCUUGGUUUUUCAGUCGCGGAACAUGGUGGAGUUCCAGACCUUCAAAUUUCUCGAUCUUCCUCACUGCAUUGCAGUAUGUGGUCAUGGUGGGGUUCCUGACGUCCCACUCCUUCAUCACUUGAUUAACCACCAAAUCCGAAUCGCCAUAGACCAUCAGGCGACGGACGCCGAGUGCGAUGGCCAUGCGCAAUCCAUAAAGGAGAGCUUCAUACUCUGCCUCGUUGUUGGAGGAAUCAAAGUGUAUCUGCAACACAUACUUGAGUUUGUCACCCUUUGGCGAUAUGAUCACAACGCCAGCGCCGGAGCCAUUCAACAUCUUGGACCCAUCGAAGAACAUUGUCCAAUGAGCCGAGUAGAUGUGGGUCGGUUAAUGUUGUUCUACCCAUUCUGCUAUGAAGUUAGCCAGAGCUUGAGACUUUAUAGCUUUCUUGGCCUCGAACCUAAUGUCGCAGUAUAACAUCUCCAUUGCCCACUUCGCCACUCGGCCCGAUGCGUCCCGAUUGUGUAGGAUUUCCGACAACGGAGCAUCAGAAACGACGGACACCGAGUGGUCUUGAAAAUAAUGAGCCACCUUCUUCGUAGUCAUGUAAAUCCCGUAGAUAAGUUUUUGAUAAUGGGGAUACCUCUGCUUGGAAGGAGUCAGGACUUCGGAGACAUAAUACACUGGCCGCUGAACCUUGUAUGCUUUGCCUUCUUCUUCCCGUUCGACCGUCAGAACAGUGAUGACGACUUGAUUCGUAGCCGCGAUGUACAGAAGAAGGGGUUCUUUACUGAGCGGAGCAGUAAGAACCGGCUGGGUGGAAAGUAGGACUUUGAGGUCGUCGAAUGCGAUUUGGGCUUCGUCUGUCCACUCGAAAGUAUCUGAUUUCUUCAUGAGUCGGUACAGAGGAAGUGCCUUCUCGCCGAGUCGACUGAUAAACCUGCUCAAAGCCGCUAGGCAACAUGUGAGUCUUUGAACAUCGUGUAUUCUGACCGGCCGCUCCAUUCGGACGAUGGUCCCGAUCUUUUCGGGGUUGACAUCGAUCCCUCGUUCGGAAACAAAGAAACCGAGUAACUUUCCGCUGGGAACGUCGAAUGAACACUUGGCUGGGUUGAGCUUGAUAUCGUACCUACGAAGGUUGGCGAAUGUUUCUGCCAAGUCAGUCAGCAGGUCGGAACCUUUGCGUGACUUGACUACGAUAUCAUCCAUAUACGCCUCCACAUUCUGACCGAUCUGGUCGAGGAGGCAUUUUUGGAUCAUGCGCAUAAAGGUUGCUCCUGCAUUCUUCAAACCAAAUGGCAUAGUGAUGUAGCAGAAGCACCCGAAUGGGGUGAUGAAGGCUGUUUUUAAUUCAUCGGGGCCAUACAAACGGAUCUGAUGAUAGCCCGAGUAGGCAUCAAGGAAUGACAACCGCUCCCAACUCGCAGUCCAAUCGACAAUUUGAUCGAUGCGGGGGAGCGGAAAAUGGUCUUUCGGGCAGACCUUAUUGAGAUGCUUGAAGUCGAUGCACAUUCGGAGCGACUUGUCUUUCUUGGGCACCAUGACAACAUUGGCGAGCCACUCGGAGUGGUGUACCUCGCGAAUGAAGUUGGCUGCCAAAAGUUUAGCCACCUCUUCUCCGAUUGCCUUCCUCUUGUGCGCGGCGAACCGACGCAGGCGUUCUCGGACAGGCCGAGCGGCGGGAUCCACAUGCAGUCAGUGCUCAGCCAACUCCCUGGGUACACCUAGCAUGUCAGCGGGCUUCCAUGCGAAGAUGUCCCAGUUCUCACAGAGGAAUUGGGUGAGCUCGGCUUCCUAUUUAGGAUCGAGGGUGGUGGAGAUGUUCGUCGGGGCAGCGGUGUCGUCCGUCGGGUGGAUGCUGACCUUCCUCGUCUCUCCCGCCGACUGGAAUGCGGACUCCGAAGCUGGCUUCUUCGAACGCAUCAAGUCAGCGGGGUCGACUGUUUUCUUGUACUCGUCAAGCUCGAGGACAGCCAUCUGUUGAUCGGCGAUCCUCGAUCCCUGCUGCAGACACUCCUCGGCACGCUACCGAUUGCCUGUGAUGGUGAUCACACCUUUUGGGCCUGGCAUCUUCAGCUUCAGGUACACGUAACAUGGACGGGCCAUGAAACGCGCAUACGCCGGGCGGCCCAGAAUUGCGUGGUACGCACUCUGGAAGUCCACCACCUCGAACGUCAGCUUUUCCUUGCGGAAAUUCUUGUCGGAGCCGAAGACGACAUUCAACGCGAUCUGGCCGAGUGACUUGGCCUUUCGUCCAGGGACGACUCCAUGGAACUGCAUGCUGCUCUCGCUAAGUUUGGACAUCGGAAUGCCCAUCCCCUUGAGAGUGUCAGCGUACAUGAUGUUCAAGCCACUGCCGCCGUCCAUGAGGACUUUGCGGAGUCGGACUCCUUCCACCACCGGGUCGACGACCAGGGCGUGCCUCCCUGGGGUGGGUACGUGUGCUGGAUGAUCCGACUGGUCAAAGGUGAUCGCAGUCUGAGACCAUUUGAAGAACGUAGGUUGGUCGGCGUGGCCAUGUUCACCUCCCUGUUCACCAGCUUCAGUCGACUCUUGCUCUCAAUGUCAGCAAAAAUCAUCAAUGUUGCAUGGACUUGGGGGAAUGGAUCCUCCUUGUCUUCCUCAUCCUGUUCAUUGCCCUUUUCACUCGGCUGUCCUUCGCCGAACCCCUGGAUCAGGAGGCGACAUUGCCGAGUGGUAUGCUUCGGAUAUAUGGCGUUGCCCUCUUCAUCCAUCUUCGUGUGAAUUGGACAUGGCUGGUCCAGGAUGGGGUUUCGAACUGCUUCUUCUUGGGGGUGAACUGAGCCUUCCCCUUGCCCUUGAACUUGGCAUUGGUAACGGCUGCGGCCUCUGCCUGCGGAGUGGACGGAGCUUUCUGCUUCUGCUUCCGAGUGUUGUUCCCAUCUCCAUCGGCGACUGCUUUGUGCUUGCCGCUACGAAUGCGGUCCUCUUCUUCGCCAUUUGCAUAGAGUGCCGCUAUCUCCAUCAUUUUACUCAUGGAGAUGUCGCUUGUUCGACCGAACUUCAGGUACAAAUCUCUGUACCGCACGCCUGCCUUGAAUGCGCAGACUGCUUGGUGCUCUGUGACGUUCUCCACGUGUGGUAGAGGGUCGUCCAACGCUGAAUGAAACCGCGCAGGGGCUCAUUCUGCUUCUGGACACAGUGCUGGAGCUCCACGAGGUCAGCAGGGCGUUUGCACGUCCCUUCGAAGGUCCUAAUGAAGACUCGGGCCAGAUCUGCCCAGCUGUAGAUGCUUGAGGGAGCCAACUGGUUCGACCACGCUCGCGCCGAGCCGUCGAGCAUUAGAGGGAGGUGUUUCAUGGCAACGUGGUCGUCCCCUCCUCCGAUCUGGACUGCCACUCGGUAGUCGUCCAGCCAUGUUUCUGGCUUGGAUUCUCCUGUAAACUUGCUGAUCCCCGUCGCCAAUCGGAUGUUGGAAGGGAUGUCAGCCGAACCGAUGGCUCGACUGAAACACUCGGGGCCAGAGACGAUGGUCCUGCUUCCACUCGGACGGUCCAUAUCGUGACCAUCGCGGUGGGCUUGGCCCCUGUCGACCCUCCUCUGGGCGAUAUGCCCUCUCGCGUCGGGCCUUGGAUCAUAAGUGUCACCGACUGAACGCCGAUCAUCAUGAUGUCAGGGCCCAUAGGGCCCACCCCGCGGAGGGGUGCGUGAGCGGUGACGAUCUUCGGGAUUCAUGGAACGACUGCUUCUCGUGUGUCGCUGAUGAGAACCGGGGCUGUGAAUGGACCGAUGCGUGUUCGCGUGAACAGAACUAUUGUGAAUCCUGUUGUGCGACUGGGAGACCGCUGAAUUUUGCUACUGCGCGUGUGCAGCAGGGCACGGAUUUGCUCGAUCCCCUCUGCCAGCCUCUGAAUCAGUCGGCUGGAGAGAAUCGGCUAUCUUGGCGGCGGCAGCCAGGUUGAGGACGGGUGUGCGGUACACCUCCACGUUGCUCCGCCGAGUGUGCCGACUGGCAGAACGGCGGGGCUGACGGUGAGCGCCAGAUGUUUCGCCGACCUCGUGCUCGUUCCGGCCAGUUUGGCGGGGACUUUCAUGGGAGUUGGCCAUGUGCACUUCAGCUGCAGGCCCGCGACCCAAGUACUCCGAAGGAAACUCAGUCAGAACUGAGUCCGAGCGCUGGGACGGCGGCGCAACCACAACCGACUCUAGGACCGCCACUUGUGAGGACGCGUUCUGGCGCGCCUGGGCGUGUUGCACCCAACGCUGGAGCCGCGGACGGCGGGACCGCUUGUUGCGGCGCGCGAUGGCGGCAUAGGUCGAUUCCGGAGCUGACUGCUGGAGAAGAAGAAUACCGCGGGCGCCGGCACGAAAGUGCGUAGCCCCGUGACCGGGGAGCGCCUCGACGUCGAGAGGGGCAUUCCGGAGCCAUGCCGAAUCGUCGACGAUGAAGGAGAGAGAGCCGAAGAGGAUCUCGUGACCCAUGCUCAAAUCUCCACCGGAUGACAUGAUGAAAAGAUGUAGUCGCAAACUCGCCGGAAGUUGCUUAGACGCCUGCCCAGGUGGGCGCCAACUGCCGUGGGUAUAAGCCUGACAGUAGAUGUGUAGGGUAUAAAAGGAUGGGCAGAGCCUUAGCUACGGCGAGGUUGUAUGAGUUCAGGCCCCUCUACGGUGGAGGUAAAAUCCCUACGUCUCAGUACUCUUGGGAGCUUGUUGUCGAGUGGAAUAUGGAUUAUAGUGAAUUGCUAAGCCCUGCACUAGUGGGGAAGGGCGGCUUAUAUAGAGUGCGCUACCCUUCACAACGGUUCAGUGCACAGGGGUGGAGUAGUGGUGAAUAACUGCAUACGUUACAGGUUACAUAUGUCUUAUGCUAAUAAAGGUAUAUGGAAACGUAUGACCGUUGCCCUCCAGGGGGGUUACGAUGUACAGAGUGGAAUCCAGUCGGUAAGCUUGAUACGCUCCGAAUGCUCAUCUCCGACUGGAUGAUGGAGGAAUCGUUACCGACUGGAUGAUGGGAAGUCCUUAAUUCAGUCGGAGCUGACUAAGGGCCUUGUCCUUUAUGAAGGGUAGUCCUUGGGUAGGCCCCACAGGGCAGGCCUAUGACCCUACCCUAGCACUGUAACCCCAUCAGUUAGUCUUUGCCACGUUAGCCGGGCCCAACCAGUCAGUUUUUCUCCCUUUGUGCCGUCGUUUUCUCACAACAGAACGUCAUGGAUAGGCUAAUCGAGAGAGGUGAAGAACGAAGUGGCACCGGUGGUCUUCGGUAACCGGAUUGGUAACUAGCGAUGUAAGACACACAAUGUACCCAGGUUCAGGGUCCUCCGUGGAAGGUAAAACCUGCAGUCCUACCGGAAUGGUUGAUGAACCAGUAGUGUUCAGCGGAGGAGGGAGAAGGAGCAGCCGGCUGGCGUUCUACCUCUCCUGUAUGGGUGGGAGUGUAUCAGAAUGGCCGACCCUCUGCAUGGAGUGGGCCGGGGGGUUUAUAAUCGAACCCCCCAGCCUAAAAAAAUGGAUAAGAGGUACUAAAGGGGGACCCGGCUGGCAGCCUCUCCGGCUAGCAAGUGGGUCCGUUGUCGAGCAGUCUUGUUUUUCGCAGGGCCCGCCGGCUGUAGGGUCCCAUCAGGCUCUGGCAUCCGCCGGCCAGCCAAUCGAAGAGGCGCGUGCUCUCCACGCGCGGGACGGAAAGUACGUUGGCCGUCGUCUUGCGGGAUUCAGCAUCGGUCAGCAGUACGAUCGCCUCCAUUGUAGCCACACUUCGCCAGGUAAUGGAGUGGUUGGUGACGGGCGUACACAGUGUGCGGUUGACAGGUCGUAGCCGGCACCGGUCAGCGGUAUGGCUACCACCGUUGUAGCCACGCGUAUCCUUCGCCAUCAUAUCUGGACUGACGUUCCUUCACCUUCAAGCGAAGGGUCUUGUCGUGUCCAAGGGGUCGAGAUGACAGGUGAUCCCCAGCCGGCUGACGGCUAGACAGUCGGCUAGAGAGUAAACAGCCGUGCCCCUAGCCGGCACGGGUUGCGUAGCCGGCAAGGGUGUAGACAGCAGUACCCCGAGCUGGCACGGGUUGCGUAGCCGGCCAGGAAGUGCCAGCACUUGAGCAUGCAUUCUUCCCAAGUUAUGCCGAAAGGCUAUAGAGUAGGCUCGAUGAGCCUACCCCGGGGUUAUCCCCCCGUCAGUAGUGCCCGAAGCAGGGGAGGCCCGCUGGCUCAAGGGGGAAGGCCUCGCCAGCUUGGAGGUUGCGCCUGUGGGUCGCCAGAGCCGGUGGCCGGGCUAAUAGCCAGUCGGCUUCUGCGAGAAGCCUCGCCUUCUCCGUUGUAAUGUGGCGGUACGCCACGCGUCGGGUUUCGGGGGUCGUGCCCUGACAGGCCACGAGCAUGAUAGGACUGGGCCUGCUGCGGGGGUGACCCGCCAUGCCGCAGCCGCGGCCCGCGCGUGGGGAUCUUCUGCGGAAAACAGGGUGGUGGUUGGCAUCCCGAUGCACCUUAACUUCUCCACGUGGCGCACGGGGAAUGGGGAUCGUGCGCACCGGUUCCCCUUCCCCACUACCCAGUCUUGGGUUUAAAGGGGCAGGCGGAGGGGCCGAAGUAGACAUUUGCCCCUGCUCCUCAUCUUCGCGACGGCCCACCCCUCUGUUGGGGAACGUCGCAUGGGAAACAAAAAUUUCCCUACGCGCACGAAGACCUAUCAUGGUGAUGUCCAUCUACGAGAGGGGAUGAGUGAUCUACGUACCCUUGUAGAUCGUACAGCAGAAGCGUUAGUGAACGCGGUUGAUGAGUGAUAUACAUCCAAUAUAUCACAUCACAUCGUUGGGCCAUAUCACAUCACAAGCAUACCUUGCAAAAACAAGUUAGACGUCCUCUAAUUUUGUUGUUGCAUGUUUUACGUGGUGACCAUGGGUAUCUAGUAGGAUCGCAUCUUACUUACGCAAACACCACAACGGAGAUAUAUGAGUUGCUAUUUAACCUCAUCCAAGGACCUCCUCGGUCAAAUCCGAUUCAACUAAAGUUGGAGAACCGACACUUGCCAGUCAUCUUUGAGCAACGGGGUUACUCGUAACGAUAAAACCAGUCUCUCGUAAGCGUACGAGUAAUGUCGGUCCAAGCCGCUUCAAUCCAACAAUACCGCGGAAUCAAGAAAAGACUAAGGAGGGCAGCAAAAUGCACAUCACCGCCCACAAAAACUUUUGUGUUCUACUCGAGAAGACAUCUACGCAUGAACCUAGCUCAUGAUGCCACUGUUGGGGAACGUCGCAUGGGAAACAAAAAUUUUCCUACGCGCACGAAGACCUAUCAUGGUGAUGUCCAUCUACGAGAGGGGAUGAGUGAUCUACGUACCCUUGUAGAUCGUACAGCAGAAGCGUUAGUGAACGCGGUUGAUGUAGUGGAACGUCCUCACGUCCCUCGGUCCGCCCCGCGAACAAUCCCGCGAUCAGUCCCACGAUCUAGUACCGAACGGACGGCACCUCCGCGUUCAGCACACGUACAGCUCGACGAUGAUCUCGGCCUUCUUGAUCCAGCAAGAGAGACGGAGAGGUAGAAGAGUUCUCCGGCAGCGUGACGGCGCUCCAGAGGUUGGUGAUGACCUUGUCUCAGCAGGGCUCCGCCCGAGCUCCGCAGAAACGCGAUCUAGAGGAAAAACCGUGGAGGUAUGUGGUCGGGCNNNNNNNNNNNNNNNNNNNNNNNNNNNNNNNNNNNNNNNNNNNNNNNNNNNNNNNNNNNNNNNNNNNNNNNNNNNNNNNNNNNNNNNNNNNNNNNNNNNNAUGGGAAACAAAAAUUUUCCUACGCGCACGAAGACCUAUCAUGGUGAUGUCCAUCUACGAGAGGGGAUGAGUGAUCUACGUACCCUUGUAGACCGUACAGCAGAACCGUUAGAGAACGCGGUUGAUGUAGUGGAACGUCCUCACGUCCCUCGAUCCGCCCCGUGAACAAUCCCGCGAUCAGUCCCACGAUCUAGUACCGAACGGACGGCACCUCCGUGUUCAGCACACGUACAGCUCGACGAUGAUCUCGGCCUUCUUGAUCCAGCAAGAGAGACGGAGAGGUAGAAGAGUUCUCCGGCAGCGUGACGGUGCUCCGGAGGUUGGUGAUGACCUUGUCUCAGCAGGGCUCCGCCCGAGCUCCGCAGAAACGCGAUCUAGAGGAAAAAACCGUGGAGGUAUGUGGUCGGGCUGCCGUGGAAAAGUCGUCUCAAAUCAGCCCCAAAACCUUCGUAUAUAUAGGUGGGAGGGAGGGGGCCUUGCCUUGGGGUCCAAGGACCCUCAAGGGGGUCGGCCGAGCCAAGGGGGAGGACUCUCCCCCCCCCCAAACCGAGUUGGACUAGGUUUUGGUGGGAGGGAGUCCUCCUCCCUUCCCACCUCCUCCCUUUUUUUUUUCCUUUUCUCUUGAUUUUUCUUCUCUUGGCGCAUAGACCACUUGUGGGCUGUCCCACCAGCCCACUAAGGGCUGGUGUGUCUCCCCCAAGGCCUAUGGGCUUCCCCGGGGUGGGUUGCCCCCCCCCCCGGUGAACUCCCGGAACCCAUUCGUCAUUCCCGGUACAUUCCCGGUAACUCCGAAAACCUUCCGGUAAUCAAAUGAGGUCAUCCUAUAUAUCAAUCUUCGUUUCCGGACCAUUCCGGAAACCCUCGUGACGUCCGUGAUCUCAUCCGGGACUCCGAACAACAUUCGGUAACCAACCAUAUAACUCAAAUACGCAUAAAACAACGUCGAACUUUAAGUGUGCAGACCCUGCGGGUUCGAGAACUAUGUAGACAUGACCCGAGAGACUGCUCGGUCAAUAUCCAAUAGCGGGACCUGGAUGCCCAUAUUGGAUCCUACAUAUUCUACGAAGAUCUUAUCGUUUGAACCUCAGUGUCAAGGAUUCGUAUAAUCCCGUAUGUCAUUCCCUUUGUCCUUCGGUAUGUUACUUGCCCGAGAUUCGAUCGUCAGUAUCCGCAUACCUAUUUCAAUCUCGUUUACCGGCAAGUCUCUUUACUCGUUCCGUAAUACAAUAUCCCGCAACUUACACUAAGUCACAUUGCUUGCAAGGCUUGUGUUUGAUGUUGUAUUACCGAGUGGGCCCCGAGAUACCUCUCCGUCACACGGAGUGACAAAUCCCAGUCUCGAUCCAUACUAACUCAACGAACACCUUCGGAGAUACCUGUAGAGCAUCUUUAUAGUCACCCAGUUACGUUGCGACGUUUGAUACACACAAAGCAUUCCUCCGGUGUCCGUGAGUUAUAUGAUCUCAUGGUCAUAGGAACAAAUACUUGACACGCAGAAAACAGUAGCAACAAAAUGACACGAUCAACAUGCUACAUUUAUUAGUUUGGGUCUAGUCCAUCACAUGAUUCUCCUAAUGAUGUGAUCCCGUUAUCAAGUGACAACACUUGCCUAUGGCCAGGAAACCUUGACCAUCUUUGAUCAACGAGCUAGUCAAUUAGAGGCUUACUAGGGACAGUGUUUUGUCNNNNNNNNNNNNNNNNNNNNNNNNNNNNNNNNNNNNNNNNNNNNNNNNNNNNNNNNNNNNNNNNNNNNNNNNNNNNNNNNNNNNNNNNNNNNNNNNNNNNGUGCUGGCCGGAGUGUUGGGGAGGAGGGUGCGUGGGGCUUACCGGCCGGAGGUAUCGACGGCGCGCGGCGAGGAGGACGGCGGCGCGCGGUGAGGAGGACGGCGGCGGCGGCGAGCAGGACGGCGGGCAGCCUGACGGCGUCGUCGAGUUCGUCGCUUGCCGCGCCGGGCAGGAGAACGAGAGGAAGAAGAAGAGAAAAUGGACGAUUUGGGUUCGAAAUUUUCUAACUCCCGCUUAUACAGGUGAAUCUUUAGUCCCGGUUCGUGGCUCGAUCCGGGACUGAAGCCCCUUUAGUCCCGGGUGGAGCCACGACCCGGGACUAAAGACCCUUUUUCGGCUGACCAGAAGGCGGGAAGCAAGGGCCUUUAGUCCCGGGGCAUGGCUCGAUCCGGGACUAAAGACCCCCUUUAGUCCUGGGUGGAGCCACGACCCGGGACUAAAGGCCCUUUUUUGGCUGACCAAAAGGCGGGAAGCAGGGGCCUUUAGUCCCGGGGCGUGGAAAGAACUGGGACUAAAGUUUUGCCUAUAUAAACCCUCGCCCCUGCCCACCAUAUCCCGUGUUUUUGGUUGUUGAAGUGUGACCAUGUCACGCUCUUGCCACUCUAGUUCAUGCACAUGACGUGUUCGAUGAAAUGCCUAAGCCACUCUACUUAAGCUUUCUCCUCUCCAAUCUCGACCUCCAAGCUCCAUUUUCCUUAAUAUUUGUCUAGGUUUGGCCGUGCACCAACUGCGAGCACCACCGUGGUGAGCCUCUUGUUCUUAUCUUCUUUUUAAAAUCAAAAAAAUCUUACUUGUAUGAUUUAGAUACAUACUUGUAUAAAUUACUCACUUUCAUUAUUUUUUGUUAUUAUAUAGUGCGAUGGUUUUGGUAUCCGCCUCCGUCGGCCCUCGUCCUGUCUAUGAUUCGGAUGUGGUAUAUAUUAUGUUUUAUAACUAUUUGUUUUAUUUAGUGUUUAUGACAAUUAUGAAGACCAAUGUGACAUAUAUUUUUUAAUCUAGGAGGUAUGUGAAUCGGAAAUUCCAACCCACAUAAAAAUUCUUGUCGAGAAGUUAAAUUUGGUUGAAAAAGAAAACAAAUACUUGAAGAAAAAAAUUGAAAAUAAUUGAGGAUAAGAAUAUGGAACUGGAGUUGCAUAUCACCGAUGUCAUCGAUGAUCGCAAGAUGAAGAUCCAUGCGAUGCGGUUGAAGAUGGAUGCAAUGCGCUUGAAGAUGGAUGAAAUGCGCUUCAAGAUUAGGAAUAUUAGAAAAUAUGCCAUUGAUAAAGAGGCUUGGUAUCAUUAUGUUGUUGAGUCAAUUGUUACCUUAGUUGCGAUUUUGAUCGCGUUUGUUGUUGCAUUUAAAUGUUUUACAUAGUUGUAUGUUGUUUUAUGAGAGAACUUUAUGUAUUUAUUUUUUGCAAUAAUAACAUUUGAUCACUACUGUUCUUUGGCUUUAAUGUGAUGAUGAACUUGUAUUAAUUUGGUCAUAUGUUCUGCAAUGGUUUUUUGAUAUAUUUGAUUUCAUAAUAGAGAUGAAUCGCCAAUGAUAAUAUUUAAUUUCAUAAUAUGGUUUUUUGAACUCCAUACUUUUUGACUUCAUUUGGUAUAUUUUGUGGAUUUACUUAUUUUUUUGAGCUAGUUGACCCUGAAAUCGAAAAGCACUACAAAUGAACUCUGAAAAUGUUGAAAGUUGGCAUGCUAUCAUCAUUUCACCCACAUAGCAUGUGUUAAAAAGUUGAGAGGGCUACGACAAAAACUGGAUGCACUUCGUGUACAAAACGGACAAUCUCUCUCGAAGUAUCAGGGUUUCGAACGAGAACUCAUCUCUUACAAAGGGAUUUCAUUUUUGUGAACUUAUUUGAACUCCAUACUUUUUGUGUGUUCAAAAUGCACCAUNNNNNNNNNNNNNNNNNNNNNNNNNNNNNNNNNNNNNNNNNNNNNNNNNNNNNNNNNNNNNNNNNNNNNNNNNNNNNNNNNNNNNNNNNNNNNNNNNNNNGAACAAGGAAAUAUGAUAUUAACCAUUUUAUUAUUGCCUCUAGGGCAUAUUUCCAACACUUCGCUCAUCAAGAAAAGAUCCACUAGCCUGCAACUCAAGCGUGAAGGUUGUCGAGCGUGGCCGAGAGGGUGAAGGAGGCCAAUCUGUAUUGGUGCCUGGUUCAGGUGAAAAGUCAGGAAGCUCAACUCUGGUUGAAAUUUUUGCAUCGCCAAAACAAACGUGUGUAGCAGAAAUUUUUCUGUCGCCUCCGACAGUAAUGGAGGAAAGGACACCACCACCUGUAUCCAUAAAGCUACAGCCGGUAUCAGUCCCGCGAUCAGUCCCACGAUCUAGUACCGAACGGACGGCACCUCCGCGUUUAGCACACGUACAGCUCGACGAUGAUCUCGGCCUUCUUGAUCCAGCAAGAGAGACGGAGAGGUAGAAGAGUUCUCUGGCAGCGUGACGGCGCUCCGGAGGNNNNNNNNNNNNNNNNNNNNNNNNNNNNNNNNNNNNNNNNNNNNNNNNNNNNNNNNNNNNNNNNNNNNNNNNNNNNNNNNNNNNNNNNNNNNNNNNNNNNNNNNNNNNNNNNNNNNNNNNNNNNNNNNNNNNNNNNNNNNNNNNNNNNNNNNNNNNNNNNNNNNNNNNNNNNNNNNNNNNNNNNNNNNNNNNNNNNNNNNNNNNNNNNNNNNNNNNNNNNNNNNNNNNNNNNNNNNNNNNNNNNNNNNNNNNNNNNNNNNNNNNNNNNNNNNNNNNNNNNNNNNNNNNNNNNNNNNNNNNNNNNNNNNNNNNNNNNNNNNNNNNNNNNNNNNNNNNNNNNNNNNNNNNNNNNNNNNNNNNNNNNNNNNNNNNNNNNNNNNNNNNNNNNNNNNNNNNNNNNNNNNNNNNNNNNNNNNNNNNNNNNNNNNNNGGGGAGGACUCCCCCCCCAAACCGAGUUGGACUUGGUUUGGUGGGAGGGAGUCCCCCUUCCUUCCCACCUCCUCCUUUUUUUUUCUUUUCUCUUGAUUUUCUCUUCUUGGCGCAUAGAGCCCUUUUGGGCUGUCCCAACAGCCCACUAAGGGCUGGNNNNNNNNNNNNNNNNNNNNNNNNNNNNNNNNNNNNNNNNNNNNNNNNNNNNNNNNNNNNNNNNNNNNNNNNNNNNNNNNNNNNNNNNNNNNNNNNNNNNGUGGUGGCCUACGUGGAGGAUCUUUAAGUGGUGGAACGGAUGGGCUUUGCUCAUCAAGAAAAGUUCCACUAGCCUGCAACUCAAGCGUGAAGGUUGUCGAGCGUGGCCGAGAGGGUGAAGGAGGCCAAUCUGUAUUGGUGCCUGGUUCAGGUGAAAAGUCAGGAAGCUCAACUCUGGUUGAAAUUUUUGCAUCGCCAAAACAAACGUGUGUAGCAGAAAUUUUUCUGUCGCCUCCGACAGUAAUGGAGGAAAGGACACCACCACCUGUAUCCAUAAAGCUACAGCCGGUAUUUCAUACAUAUCCAGAGGAUACUCUUCGGACGAUUGACCCGGUAAAGAUCAAAGGAAGUGGGCGAAGGUGUCUAGCAAUUGUCGAGAAACCGGCAGAUUUUGAAGACGCAAAUACGAAGGAGUGUCGGCGUCAUGCUAUGAAAGAAGAGUUGGGGUUGAUCCACGACAACAAUGCAUGGGAGCUUGUGGAUCUUCCCAACAAUGAAAAAAACAUGGAGCUCAAGUGGGAAUUUACGAUUAAGAAAGAAGCUAAAGGAAAUUGUGUGAAGCACAAGGCGAAGCUAGUAGAGGACAUGCAAGAUGAAGGUGUGGGCUUCAAAGAAGUGUUCCUUCCCAUUGCACAGAUGGAAUCGGUGAGAUUACUCAUCACUCUCGCGGCUCAAGAAUCAUGGAAGAUACAUCACAUGGAUGUAAAAUCCACGUUCUUGCACGGUGAGAUGGAAGGAGAUGUGUAUGUGAAUCAAGCACCGAGCUUCAUCAAGGAGGGAGAAGAACACAAGGUAUUGAAGCUACACAAAGUCUUGUAUGGGCGACGGCAAGACCUUCGGGCGUGGAAAAUUAAACUUGAUCAGACUAUGAUUUCUCUUGGAUUUGAGAAAGCCCCACUGGAGCAUACAAUGUACAAGAAAGGUGAAGGAAGGGAUCGUCUACUAGUUGGCAUCUACGACGAUGAUCUAUUGAUUACUGGAGCAGAUGAAGAUGUGAUUGCAAAGUUCAAGCUACAAAUGAAGAAGCUUUUCGACAUGGAUGAUCUAGGUCUUUUGAGUUGCUACCUCGGGCCAGAGGUACAUCAAAAGUCGGAAGGGAUCACACUAUGCCACGAGGCAUACGCAAGGAAGAUACUUGAAAGUUGUGGCAUGAAAGAUUGCAAUCCAAUUGAUGCUUCAAUGAAACCUCGUCUUGAGCUGAGCAAGAAGAAGAUGGCGAGCCUACUCGGCUACAGUGGUAGCGACAAGGAAGGAAUUGUUGACGACCGUAAGAGUACCUCGGACGUGGCAUAUUUCUUUGAUGGAAGCAUAGUAAGAUGUCUAUCACGAAAGCAGAAAGUGGUGACAUCGACUUCAAGUGAAGCAGAGUGUCAAGGUGUGUGGCUAGGAAGACUACACGGCGAUCUCAUGUAUCGAGAUCCGAAACGAGUGGUGCUCAAUAUUGGCAACGAGUCUAUAUUUUUUCUACGCGAGGAUCCAGUGCGGCGUGACGGGAGCAAGCACAUUGAUACGAUGUAUCACUACAUGAAGGACUGCGUAGAAGAAGGGAAGACGGAGGUCAACUACAUUUGCACCAAUGACCAACUUGCAGAUAUCCUAACCAGAUCUUUAGGACGACAAAAGUUCAUGAAGAUGACGACGGAUUAGUGUCCAAGCUGUGAAGUGAGGACAUCGUGCUUAGGAGGGUGAUUGUUGGAAUUAACCACGAUGUAUAGUCUAUGUCCGGCUCGGACUAGAGUCAGUCACCGUAUAGGAUUUCUAGUAGGCUAGGUUAACUACUAUGGCUCCUAUAUAUACUCUUGUAACCCCGUGUACUCAUAUCAAUACAUAGCAAUACAACAUCAGGACCGAUACAAUCCUAUGGCCAUACUAUCUCGUGUGUUCUCGCCGCAUGUCUAGCCGGCUGCGUACGUGCUAGCUAGCACAGGAGGAAUCCAUCCAGCAGCCUGCUAGGCUGCUUCGUGUAUACGUGCACGUUGCUGUCUAUAUCUACGUCUAUGUCUCCGACACAACCGAUUAGCUCGAAAAGUACUCGAGCUACUCUCGUACGCGUGUAUCAUUGGAAAGUACACGGCGGAUUGCAGCGGUGAGAUACGGCCUGUGCUAACAGGGAGCUCUGGAAUCAGAUUUUAAUGUUCCAAGCUUCCUUCUAGGCAGAGUUAAGUGGUGGUUCCAGCGGUAAGAAAUGCAUUUCCAUGGAACACAAUAAGCAUGAUGAUCUGCCAUGCCAUAGUAAUGCAACUGGUCAUGACUGUAUGAUGACCUGAUGAGCUCUUUGAUGCGAAAAAGCCGAAUUGUUUUCACCAUCCACAAUGCAUAGAGAUCCUUUGUUGGGUGGAAUAGUCCAUGUUCCACUCUUUUGAUUCUAAGAUAUUAGAUCGAGUAAGCCAAUAAAAAGUGCACAUUUUGUUUUGUGAACUGAUUCCUACAUGAUUCCAGGGGCUCCCUAAAUAAUAUAGAAGAUGCGAACAUAUAUGUUGUUAAAAGGUUCAUAAUAUUUAAGGUGGUUUACUGUUCACCCAUCAGCAUCCCAACGUAUGCUCCAGUGAGUAAAUUUAGUCCAUGUAUGCAAUACUUCUGUAAUUACCGUGAGUGUGCAGAACGACGAGCCUACCGUCAAGGUUGUGCCCUAUGCAAGUGACGGUCACGUUACGCUAAGAGCAUGGUUAAUAGUAUAGGCAGUAUAGUAUAGCCAACUGCCGGAAAUUCGUUGACAUGGACGGGCUCGCCUGCUAACGGUAUCGCUGGGCAUCGAAUAGCAUCAGGAUAUGGAUAGCGUGCCGUAUUUUUGGGUGUAGACGACGGGUUAGUUAUUGCAAGACGAGGACGGCCCGAGACGAUGUUUACACCGCACGGGCCGUCGAUCGUUCAAGUAAUAGCGGGUGUUGGGAAACUGGGCCAGCCUAUCGGGCGCGAUAGCGAGGCUGGCUUUCGUGCGAGGCGCCAUUCCUUAUUGUUUUCCCUGUUUCCGUUAAGUGGAUUCUUAUCCCUUGACCCCAUAUCUCUAUAUAAAGACUAUUAUUGGCCGGUGCCGGUGCGUCUGGAUCUCAAGGCUAUUAUUCAUUAUAGGAGAUGAUGAAUAGAGCUGGAGGGAGCAUGCCUACAGGGCAAUAUGCAAAAGGCUCAAUUGACCCUCUUGCUACAGAAGCGGUUGAUAUUGAAGAAAAGACAGCCAAAAAACCCACUGCCCCACAUGAAAAGGUUGCACAAUCUAUGCAGGUUCAUCCGGUCCCAAACCAAAGAAAGUCAAACCAAAUCCUUGUAUAGAAGACAGGUUGCAUGCCACCAUACUUGCAUAUAGUGAAAGGAUUUCUGUUGCUAUAGAGAAGAAUUCUAACAUCAAGAACAGUGCCAUAGAUGGUCCUUGGGAGAGCAUGAAAGUACUCCAAGGGUUCAGUUUGAAUUACCUUCACUAGUGGGGACAGAGCCUAUAGCCCCGGUCCGUAAGGGGCUUUAGUCCCGGUUCACCAACCGAGACUAAAGGGGCGAGACUAAAGGCCUAACCUUUAGACCCGGCCCUGUUACAAGCCGGGACUAAAGGUGCUCCACGUGGGCGCCUCGUAGCGCCCCACGGGCAGGACCUUUAGUCCCGGUUCGUUACACGGGCCGGGACUAAAGAUUUUUAGAUUUUGCUGGUUUUUGGGUUUUUUUUUGAAUGAAAUUAUUUUUGGGUUUUAGGGGUUUUAGGGUUUAGGUGUUCGGAAGAUUAACGUGAUGCCUCGUUUGGUGUUCGGGAAUUAGUUUUCAUAUAAUUUAAAUAGAAAUAAUUAUGCGUAUAUAUAUAAGAUUAACUUAUCUUACAAGCGAGCAUAUAUAUAUACAAUUAUAUGCAGAUCUGAAUUAUCGGGACUAGAGCCCGUCUAUUCGAUUACAUGGACGAACAUCAGUAAUGGCCCCUAUUUACACUAAAUCGUCCUUUGUCAUCUAUAGCUUCCGUCCUCAGAAACCCCGCAAGCUCCUCUACAACAGCAAUCGCGCGUUGCUCUGGUAGGGCCUUCGUCCUCAUGGCCGUGUGCUAUAUAAGAAGAGGAGAUGAAUAUGAAUAUCAAUCAUGAUAACAAAGAAUGACGGGUAAAAAUAGAGGUAUGAAUGUUCAUUGCUUACGUCAAAUCUGUGAUCCUUGAGCUCAGAGGUAAACGUGCGAAUGGUCUCGCAAACAUAGUAUCCGCAUAGAUGCGUUCCCCGUGGCUGCUGGUCGCACUUUACGAGAAUAGAAUAUAUAUAUAAUCAAAAUAAUAAUCUAGCAUCAUAAAUGUAUUGAAAAUUAAUAGAAGUAUAUCAUACUACUACUUACCUGAGCCGCUCUAAAGGUCAGCUUCUCAGGAAAGUUACCGGGAGUCACGCACUUGAACCGCUUCCAAACCCUGCCCGAUAAGGAUAAUGAGUUGCUAAGUUUUUCAUUAAUUGAUAUAUCAGAAAAUCAUCAAAAGAGACCGAUAGAGCGCAAGAAUGAUUAAAAUUACCCUUGGAGCAUGUCCUGCAGGCUUUGGAACUGUUCCAAGGGUCUCGAUAAUGGGUCGAAUGCAUCAAUUCUUCCCUUAUCAAUUUGAAUGUCCAACAUAAUCCAAUGAAAGCUGCACAUGUAUAUAUAUAUAUAUAUGUGUGUGUGUGUGUGUGUGUGUGUCAGUAACUUAUCAAUUACACUUAUAAAUGAAUGGACACAACAGAGUAAAGACCCUCGCUUGAAGUUGUAUGGAAACAGUAUGUGGUCACAGAAAUUUUGAUCUGUUAGAAACCUUAGAAGGUUUUCCUCCGUCUCCUUGGGAUAAUUAGUUAGCGUCGCUAUAUGUAUUUUAUCUGGGUCAAUAAACCCAAUAUUUAGGAUGCUCUUACUUUUACAAUCCAGAAUCUUCAUUCUGCAUAAUAGAGUACAAGUUAUAUAUAGACAAUGAUUUGAAAUAACUAAACAAGUUAUAUGCAGACAACGAAUUGAAAAACUUAUAGACAAUACCAACUCAUAAGCGAUUUGUCGAGGGUGUCGCCAUUGUACAUCUGGAAGAGUUCAUCAAAGUCGAUAUGGAUUUGUUCAGGGCGGCCGUAGUACUCCUGUGGGACACUCAGCACGAUCAUCGGUCUUCCAUUCUUUAAUUCACUUAAGUACCAUGUAUGCAAGUAACGCAUAUUUGUUGGGAGAUCAUCUUUGUUGCCCAUGACAAACUUUGGCUUAGGGGCUACCACAGCCUUGGGUAUCUUGUCGUCUUGGGAAGACAGCAAUUCUUCAACUGAGAUACCACAUGCAGCCGCCAACUCCUUUGCUCUUUCUAAAGCUAGCCCCUGCACGGGAGGGGGAAAAUUCUCGGCUAACACCUUGAGGGGUGGGAUCGACUGUUUGGCCUGUUGUCCAAGCUGAGGAACGUCUGAUUUUUUUUCUUGCUUGUAGUUGAACUCCUCUUUUUCACUUCCUUCUGCAAUGUGCGUGUAUAGUCAUCAGGCUUAUGGUGUAAGUCAUAAGGUCUGAUAGGAAGAUUAGCAUGACGUACCUUUGGGAGGGGCGACCGUUUGCGCUUUGCGGUGCUCUGUGGCUUAGGAAUCGUCGGCGAGCGUUCUUGGUGGCACGCUCCCGCUUAGUAUCCGGAGCGGGCGGCGGCGGAGACGGACGACCCAAGUCCGGCGGCGGUGAUCGAGAUCUGCUCUUUUUCACUUCCUUCUGCAAUGUGUGUGUAUAGUCAUCAGGCUUAUGGUGUAAGUCAUACUGUGAUGGAAGGGUCGUAAAGUAUUGUGCAAAUGCUAUUUGCUUCUAGGUGUAUUCCGGGCGGGGCUCGGGUUUCUUCUUUUUCAUCUGCGCAUCAUGAUAUUCCUUUGCUAUCCUGGCGUUUUCCUCGGGGGUACGAUCAUAAGGUCCGAUAGGAAGAUUAGCAUGACGUACCUUUGGGAGGGGCGACCGUUUGCGCUUUGGGGUGCUCUGUGGCUUAGGAAUCGUCGGCGGAGCGUUCUUGGUGGCACGCUCCCGCUUUGUAUCCGUGGCAGGCUCAGGCUUUGUAUCCGGAGCGGGCGGCGGCGUUGCGUUCUUGGUGGCACGGUCCCGCUUUGUAUCCGUGGCAGGCUCAGGCUUUGUAUCUGGAGCGGGCGGCGGCGGAGCGUUCUUGGUGGCACGCUCCCGCUUUGUAUCCGUGGCAGGCUCAGGCUUUGUAUCCGGAGCGGGCGGCGGCGGAGCGUUCUUGAUGGCACGCUCCCGCUUUGUAUCCAUGGCUGGCUCAGGGAUUGUAUCCGGAGCGGGCGGCGGCGGAGCGUUCUUGGUGGCACGCUCCCGCUUUGUAUCCGUGGCAGGCUCAGGGUUUGUAUCCGGAGCGGGCAGCGGCAGAGCGUUCUUGGUGGCAUGCUCCCGCUUUGUAUCCGUGGCAGGCUCAGGGUUUGUAUCCGGAGCGGGCAGCGGCAGAGCGUUCUUGGUGGCAUGCUCCCGCUUUGUAUCCGUGGCAGGCUCAGGGUUUGUAUCCGGAGCGGGCAGCGGCAGAGCGUUCUUGGUGGCAUGCUCCCGCUUUGUAUCCGUGGCAGGCUCAGGGUUUGUAUCCGGAGCGGGCAGCGGCGGAGACCGACGACCCAAGUCCGGCGGCGGUGAUCGAGAUGGACUCGUGUUGUGCUGGCCGACGUCAUGUGGAGGGCUUGGAGGUAAUGGAGGUGUAGGUGACCUGCGACGACUCGGAGGCGGUGUUGUCCUUGGGGCCGAGCCUGGACGCUUGAUGUAGUUCUUGUCCCAUAGGAUGACUCCACCCAGUACUUCUUCGAGUGUCCUCUCAUCUUCGGGUCCAGCUAUGUCGAGCUCCAUAUCAUUAAACCCCGUCAUGAUUUCAUCCACCCCGACUUUAGCAAAGCCAUCUGGAAUCUCACGGCCAUGCCAGCGUGCAUUAGGGCCAGAAGGUAAAGCUUGUCCGACGGCCACCUUCAUGGAUAUGUUCUUGAAUUUCUGAUGAAGUUCACAUGAUAUUGAAUCCUUGAUUCCAUCCACGGGGUAGCCGGGACCGCCCUCUAUCAUUCUUCGUUCAUCGUCGGGCGGGGCCUCAGAUUCAGCCAUGCUGCUUUUCCGCUUAGAUGGGGCGCUGGUAAUAUCAAGUGCAGGAUCUUCCUGGCGCGGUACUCCUCUAAGCUCAUCAAUCUUCUUCUGUUGCUCGUUAAUCCUGGCAAGCAACUGGUUGAACUUGUCAUUCUCCUCAUCCUGCUGCCGCUUCUUUGCUCUCUCUCGGCUUCUGUAAGUGUCUUGGUCUCUGGCAAACCCAAGCCACCACGGGUAAGAUGGACCGAAGCCUCGCGUUCGUCCUCCAUGUUCGUCAUUGCCAAGGACCAGUGUGAGCAAAUCUUUCUCUCUAUCUGCAGUGAACUUUCUUUGUCCCUCCUUAAUUUCUUUCACUAUCCUUUUCCAAUUCUCCCUGGGUAUCCUAAGAUUUUCAUUGCAGAUGAGGUCCCCUGUUUUUUCGUUGUACGACCCACCAUGCGCAAGGAACCAAUUUCUUUCUCUCAAUUCCCACUCAUCACGGAGUGGUUCAGGUACGAUGCCUUUAUCUAUCAGAUCUUGCUCUUUCUUUUCCCACUUUGGGAUGGCAGUCUCAUAGCCCCCUGGCCCAGCUUGUGGUGAUAUUUCUUCUUGUCGGCAUUUAUCUUGUUCUUUUCUGAUAAUUCCUGUGCAUCUUCUGACUCCUUGUACUCUUGAAAUUCCUUCCAGUGAUUCGCCUGCUUGGCUAGAUACCCCUCGAAUACUGGCACUUCCUUUGUCUUCAGAUAGUUUUUCCAUAGCUUCUUCUUCCAGCUACGGAACAGUUCGGCCAUCUUCUUUAGAGUCCACUGCUUGACUUUGGCCCUCAGUUUGUCUGCGGCGUCUUCAUUCUCACAUUCUAGCAGGUUGAAAUGUGACAUGAGAUUAUUCCAAAGAUUAUUUUUGUACCUUUCGGCGACAUAGUCACUAUCGGCUGCCCCUUUGCGCUUGUUCCACUCCCGAACGUUGAUCGGGACGUGAUCCCUAACGAGAACUUCGCAUUGCUUAUUGAAUGUGUCAGCAGCAUUCUUAGAAAUCUUGGGUUCGCCCGUAGGCAUUAUCACCUCAAAGGUGUAAUGCGUCUGUGCAUCCAACUUUCUAGUCGGGCCUCGUUUCGUAGAUUUGCUCGAUGUGGAGGCCUAAGAGGGAGAAACAUUCGUCAAAUGAAUGUAUAUGUAUACAAUAUAGAGCUAUCUCCAAUAUUUUUCACAUAUUACAAGUGAUUGUCGAACUUCAUAUGUAUACCUCGCCGGACUUUAUUAUUUCUUCACCGGCUUCUCCACCGGCUUCUCCAUCAGUGGAGCUAUCACCUUCUCCGUCAUUGGACCUAUCUCCUGCCCCAUCGGCUUCAUCUUCGUGUCGCUCGACCUCCAUUCCAUAUCCGGAGUCGUUUAGAUAUGACGUUGGAGAUUCGGUGGUUCAACAUCGGGGCCGUCUUUGAUUAUAUCUUCGAGAAGUUCUUCCUCUUCGAGGUUCCUGAUAUGUGGAUCCAUAGUUCUGCAAAAAACGGACAUUUGCUUAACUAAUAAACUAACAAAGUAUAUAAGAGGGGUUGGAAACUUCGAAGGCUCGUUUUAUAUAAGAGGACCUUUAGUCCCGGGUCUUGGCUAGAACCUAAACUCUAAAAUACCAGCCGGGCGGAGCCCAGUCCCGGACACUUAAGCAUAUACAAUAGCAAAAUUAAACUAGUUCUAUUAAUUUUCUUGCUAAAAAUAAACUAUUAACACUUAAGCAUAUACAAUAGAAAAAUUAAACUAUUAACACUUAAGCAUAUACAAUAGCAAAAUUAAGCAUAUACACUAUUAACACUUAAGCAUAUACACUAUUAACACUUAAGCAUAUACACUAUACAAUAGCAAAAUUAAAUGACAAAAAAAAUAUUUCUUCUUCUUGUAACCCUAAACUAAUUUUUCCUCUUCUUCUAUUUCUCCUCUUCUUCUACUUCUUCUUCUACUUCUACUUCUCCUCUUCUUCUACUACUUCUCCUCUCAUCUUCUUCUAUUUUUCCUCUUCUUCUCCUCUCCUCCUCUUCUUAUUCUCCUUUUUCUUCUUUCUUCUCCUCCUCUUCUUAUUCUCCUUUUUCUUCCUUUCUUCUCCUUUUUCUUCUUUUCUUCUCCUUCUCCUUUUUCUUCCUUUCUUCUCAUUUUUCUUCGUUUCUUCUAUUUUUCUUCCUUUCUUCUCCUUUUUCUUCCUUUCUUCUCCUUUUUCUUCUUUUCUUCUCCUUUUUUUUUCUUCCUUUCUUCUCCUUUUUCUUCUUUGCUUGUGCUGGCCGGAGUGUUGGGGAGGAGGGUGCGUGGGGCUUACCGGCCGGAGGUAUCGACGGCGCGCGGCGAGGAGGACGGCGGCGCGCGGUGAGGAGGACGGCGGCGGCGGCGAGCAGGACGGCGGGCAGCCUGACGGCGUCGUCGAGUUCGUCGCUUGCCGCGCCGGGCAGGAGAACGAGAGGAAGAAGAAGAGAAAAUGGACGAUUUGGGUUCGAAAUUUUCUAACUCCCGCUUAUACAGGUGAAUCUUUAGUCCCGGUUCGUGGCUCGAUCCGGGACUGAAGCCCCUUUAGUCCCGGGUGGAGCCACGACCCGGGACUAAAGACCCUUUUUCGGCUGACCAGAAGGCGGGAAGCAAGGGCCUUUAGUCCCGGGGCAUGGCUCGAUCCGGGACUAAAGACCCCCUUUAGUCCUGGGUGGAGCCACGACCCGGGACUAAAGGCCCUUUUUUGGCUGACCAAAAGGCGGGAAGCAGGGGCCUUUAGUCCCGGGGCGUGGAAAGAACUGGGACUAAAGUUUUGCCUAUAUAAACCCUCGCCCCUGCCCACCAUAUCCCGUGUUUUUGGUUGUUGAAGUGUGACCAUGUCACGCUCUUGCCACUCUAGUUCAUGCACAUGACGUGUUCGAUGAAAUGCCUAAGCCACUCUACUUAAGCUUUCUCCUCUCCAAUCUCGACCUCCAAGCUCCAUUUUCCUUAAUAUUUGUCUAGGUUUGGCCGUGCACCAACUGCGAGCACCACCGUGGUGAGCCUCUUGUUCUUAUCUUCUUUUUAAAAUCAAAAAAAUCUUACUUGUAUGAUUUAGAUACAUACUUGUAUAAAUUACUCACUUUCAUUAUUUUUUGUUAUUAUAUAGUGCGAUGGUUUUGGUAUCCGCCUCCGUCGGCCCUCGUCCUGUCUAUGAUUCGGAUGUGGUAUAUAUUAUGUUUUAUAACUAUUUGUUUUAUUUAGUGUUUAUGACAAUUAUGAAGACCAAUGUGACAUAUAUUUUUUAAUCUAGGAGGUAUGUGAAUCGGAAAUUCCAACCCACAUAAAAAUUCUUGUCGAGAAGUUAAAUUUGGUUGAAAAAGAAAACAAAUACUUGAAGAAAAAAAUUGAAAAUAAUUGAGGAUAAGAAUAUGGAACUGGAGUUGCAUAUCACCGAUGUCAUCGAUGAUCGCAAGAUGAAGAUCCAUGCGAUGCGGUUGAAGAUGGAUGCAAUGCGCUUGAAGAUGGAUGAAAUGCGCUUCAAGAUUAGGAAUAUUAGAAAAUAUGCCAUUGAUAAAGAGGCUUGGUAUCAUUAUGUUGUUGAGUCAAUUGUUACCUUAGUUGCGAUUUUGAUCGCGUUUGUUGUUGCAUUUAAAUGUUUUACAUAGUUGUAUGUUGUUUUAUGAGAGAACUUUAUGUAUUUAUUUUUUGCAAUAAUAACAUUUGAUCACUACUGUUCUUUGGCUUUAAUGUGAUGAUGAACUUGUAUUAAUUUGGUCAUAUGUUCUGCAAUGGUUUUUUGAUAUAUUUGAUUUCAUAAUAGAGAUGAAUCGCCAAUGAUAAUAUUUAAUUUCAUAAUAUGGUUUUUUGAACUCCAUACUUUUUGACUUCAUUUGGUAUAUUUUGUGGAUUUACUUAUUUUUUUGAGCUAGUUGACCCUGAAAUCGAAAAGCACUACAAAUGAACUCUGAAAAUGUUGAAAGUUGGCAUGCUACUCAAAGGCACAACACAAAAUUUCAACAAUUUCUGACUUCAUUUGGUAUAUUUCGUGGAUUCACUUAUUUUUUUUGAGCUAGUUGACCCUAAAAUUGAAAAGCACUACAAAUGAACUCUGAAAAUGUUGAAAGUUGGCAUGCUAUCAUCAUUUCACCCACAUAGCAUGUGUUAAAAAGUUGAGAGGGCUACGACAAAAACUGGAUGCACUUCGUGUACAAAACGGACAAUCUCUCUCGAAGUAUCAGGGUUUCGAACGAGAACUCAUCUCUUACAAAGGGAUUUCAUUUUUGUGAACUUAUUUGAACUCCAUACUUUUUGUGUGUUCAAAAUGCACCAUUCAAAGUCACAACACAAAAUUUCAACAAUUUCUGACUUCAUUUAGUAUAUUUCGUGGAUUUACUUAUUUUUUUUGAGCUAGUUGACCCUGAAAUUAAAAAGCACUACAAAUGAACUCUGAAAAUGUUGGAAGUUGGCAUGCUAUCAUCAUUUCACCCACAUAGCAUGAGUUAAAAAGUUGAGAGGGCUACGACAAAAACUGGAUGCACUUCGUGUACAAAACGGACAAUCUCUCUCGAAGUAUCAGGGUUUCGAACGAGAACUCAUCUCUUACAUGGAUAAUAUGAAAAUGAAAAGUGUUUGAAAUUUAGAACGUUCCAUACAUGCAUUACAUAAAAGGUUUAAUACAUUAUUACAUUAUUGCACCAAUAUUCCUAUCUAUUAUUUCUGUUUUCUUCUGGGUCGUAGCCAUGGAGAAUCUUCAUCAUUCAGUAGGAUGCUUGGGUCAGUUUUUACUUUGAAGGGCGGAAUUUCAUGAAACUUAUUAUAAUCUUCUGACAUGUCUGUCUUGUCAUCUACUCCCACGAUGUUUCUUUUCCCUGAAAGAACUAUGUGGUGUUUUGGCUCAUCGGAUGAUAUCUUCUUUUGCUGAUUUCUUUUUCUCGUUAAUGUAGACAUGUCCUUCACAUAGAAAACCUGAGCGACAUCAUUGGCUAGGACAAAUGGUUCGUCCAUGUACGCAAGAUUGUUAAGAUCCACUGUUGUCAUGCCGUACUUUUGGUCUACAACUACACCGCCUCCUGUCAGCUUCACCCAUUUGCACCGAAAUAAAGGGAUCAUAAAAGUAGGUCCAUAGUCAAGUUCCCAUAUCUCCUCUAUGUACCCGUAAUAUGUUUCCAAACAGUGCCCAUUCUCGUCUGUUGCAUCAAAGCGGACACCACUAUUUUGGUUGGUGCUCUUUUUAUCUUGGGAAACCGUGUAAAAUGUAUUCUCAUUUAUCUCAUACCCUGGGAAAGUACAUAUAGUCGAAGAUGGUGGCCUGGCCAAACAGUACAGCUCAUCUCCAACGGUGUCGUCAUUCAUGAGAUGUGUCUGCAAGCAACUGCCGAAAGUCUUCUCGUGUUCCCCUUUAAUCCAAGAGUCAGCCUUCCCCGGGUUUUAGGAGCGUAGAAUAUUCUUGUGACUCACGAUAUACGGAGCCACCACGGUGGAAUUGUGUAGAACUGUGUAGUGUGCUUGAGAGAAAGAAUGCCCGUCCAUACAUACUUUUGCUUUCCUUCCUAGUGUGCCUUUUCCUGUCAGCCUACCCUCAUACCGAGAUUCAGGAACACCAAUCGGCUUAAGGUCAGGAAGAAAGUCCACACAAAACUCAAUGACCUCCUCUGUUCCAUAGCCCUUGGAGAUGCUUCCUUCUGGCCUAGCACGGUUACGAACAUAUUUCUUUAAGACUCCCAUGAACCUCUCGAAGGGGAACAUAUUGUGUACAAACACAGGACCGAGAAUUCUAAUCUCUUCGACUAGGUGAACUAGGAGGUGUGUCAUUAUAUUGAAGAAGGAUGGCGGGAACAACAACUCAAAGCUGACCAGACAUUGGACCACAUCAAUCUGUAACCCUGAUAGACUUUCUCAAUCGAUUACCUUCUGAGAAAUUGCAUUGAGGAAUGCACAUACCUUCACAAUUGCCAGGCGAACAUUUUCCGGUAGAAUUCCCCUCAAUGCAACCGGAAGCAAUUGCGUCAUAAGCACGUGGCAGUCAUGAGACUUUAGGUUUUGGAAUUUUUUGUCUUUCAUAUUUACGAUUCCCUUUAUAUUCGACGAGAAGCCAGUCGGGACCUUGAUACUGAAAAGGACUUCAAAGAAGAUUUCCUUCUCUUCCUUAGUAAGAGCGUAGCUGGCACGCCCUUGAAACUGCCCUGGAUGCAUGCCAUCUCUUCCUUUAUGACGUUCCUGGUCCUCCCAUGCUUCCGGUGUAUCUUUUGACUUCCCAUACAAGCCCAGCAAGCCUAGAAUAUUCACGCAGAGAUUCUUCGUCAGGUGCAUCACGUCGAUUGCCGAACGGACCUCAUGGACUUCCCAGUAGGGUAGCUCCCAAAAUAUAGAUUUUUUCUUCCACAUGGGUACGCGCUUAUUAGGGCCGUUAGGAACAGGUUGGCUGCCAGGACCCUUUCCAAAGAUUACUUUUAAAUCUUUGACCAUAUCAAAUACUUCAGCACCAGUACGGAUGACAGGCUUCCCCCGGGGUUCUGCCUUGCCAUUGAAAUGCUUGACUUUUUUCUUUAAGGGAUGCUUGGGCGGAAGAAAACAACGAUUGUACGGAUACACAUUCUUCCUAGAGUUGUCGAGAUAUAUACUUUCUGUCUGAUCCAAACAGUGCGUGCAUGCAUUGUAUCCCUUGUUUGACUGUCCUGAAAUGUUACUAAGAGCAGGCCAAUCAUUGAUGGUUAUGAAAAGCAACGCUCGAAGGUCAAAUUCCUCUUGUUUGUGCUCGUCCCACACACGUACACCUGGUUCGGCCCACAGCUGUAAAAGUUCAUCAACUAAUGGCCUUAGGUACACAUCAAUAUCGUUGUCGGGUUGCUUUGGACCUUGUAUAAGCACUGGCAUCAUAAUGAACUUCCGCUUCAUGCACAACCAAGGAGGAAGGUUGUAGAUACAUAGAGUAACGGGCCAGGUGCUGUGACUGGAACUCUGCUCCCCAAAAGGAUUCAUGCCAUCUGUACUCAGACCUAACCAUAAGUUUCUUGCGUCAGCUGCAAAUCUCGGGAACUCUCUCUCGAUUUUUGUCCACUGCCGACCAUCAGCGGUGUGCCUCAACUUAUCGUCUUUCAUACGAUCUUCCAUGUGCCAUCGCAACAACUUCGCAUGAUCUUUAUUGCUGAACAGACGUUUCAACCGUGGUAUUAUAGGAGCAUACCACAUCACCUUGGCAGGAACCCUCUUCCUGGGUGGCUCGCCCUCAAUAUCACCAGGGUCAUCUUUUCUGAUCUUAUACCGCAAUGCAGUGCAUACCGGGCAUUUAUCCAUAUUCUCGUACUUCUCACCGCGGUAGAGGAUGCAGUCAUUAGGGCAUGCAUGUAUCUUCUGCACGUCUAAUCCUAGAGGGCAGACAAGCUUCUUUGCUUCGUACGUGCUGGCGGGCAAUUCGUUCUUUCUUGGAAGCAUCUUCUUCAUCAUUACCAGCAACUUUUCGAAUGACGAGUUAGUCACACCGGUCUCUGCCUUCCACUUCAGCAAUUCCAGUGUGCUACCCAACUUCUUCUUGCCAUCUUCACAAGUUGGGUACAACAAUUUGUUGUGGUCCUGUAACAUCUGCUCGAACUGCAACCUCUCCUUUUCUGUGUCGCAACCUCGCCGUGCAUCAGAAAUGACCCGGCCAAGAUCAUCAGCGGGCUCAUCUGGUUCCCGUUCUUCAUCCUGAUCUUCUUCUUCAUUGUCUUCCAUUGCGGUAUCAGUAUACACAGGGAACAUAGAUCGGUAGUUGUCAUCAUCGUUUUCUUCUUCUUCAUCGUCGUCUUCCAUCAUAACCCCUCUUUCUCCGUGCUUGGUCCAAACAUUAUAGCCCGGCAUAAAACCGGACCAAAGCAGGUGGCUCUGAAUGACUCUUGAGGAAGUGUAAUCCUUCUCAUUCCGACAUUCAACACAUGGACAAAACAUAUAGCCACCACCAUGCUUGUUCGCAUCGGCUGCAUCUCGAAAAGAAUGCACGCCUUCUCUGUAAGCGGUUGUGCGUCGAUCACCGUACAUCCAUGGAUGACUCAUUUGUGUUAUACGACAGUAUAUCAAAUACAAUCACGAUCCUAAAAAUUAGUACCGCACGGUCUAAACGAGGAAAUAUAGUUGCUAACCUUUUAGAAUAAGUAGAAAUAAAGAGGAAGAGGUUUAAGCGUGGCUCAGGCAUCUCAUAUCGUAGUUGUGUUCGGUGAACUGAAGCGGCAUCGCUCUAACACACAUUUCAACAAACACCUCUAGUGCAUCAAAAAAAAGUGGAGAGCAAGCACCCAGCCACAAUCCUCCAUCCAAGAAAAAUGCAAGGAAGAGGGGAGAGGGGGGCUGUGCUAUAUAUAGGCCGAGGACUUUAGUCCCGGUUUGAGACACAAACCGGGACUAAAGGUGGCGCACAUGCGGGCUGCCCACCGCGUAGCCCUUUAGUCCCGGUUUGGGUCACGAACCGGGACUACAGGCUCCUUACGGGCCGGGACUAAAGCCUCGAGGGAGGCAUUGAGAAUUGGGGCGACGUGGCCGGGCCUUUAGUCCCGGCCCAGAGGCAGGCCGGGACUAAAGGGUCCAGGCCAAAGGCCCGUUUUCCACUAGUGCUUGCUCACUACUAUGCAUAUUUGGUUGACAAUCCUCGUGUUGCUAUGACAUUCAAGUUGUUGGAGUAGGAUCAAUAAAAGGUUUGGGUUUCUAGGUAUGUCAAGAAUACCUUUCCUGAAGUGUAAGGAUGGUAUUCAAAGUCACAACACAAAAUUUCAACAAUUUCUGACUUCAUUUAGUAUAUUUCGUGGAUUUACUUAUUUUUUUUGAGCUAGUUGACCCUGAAAUUAAAAAGCACUACAAAUGAACUCUGAAAAUGUUGGAAGUUGGCAUGCUAUCAUCAUUUCACCCACAUAGCAUGAGUUAAAAAGUUGAGAGGGCUACGACAAAAACUGGAUGCACUUCGUGUACAAAACGGACAAUCUCUCUCGAAGUAUCAGGGUUUCGAACGAGAACUCAUCUCUUACAAAGGGAUUUCAUUUUUGUGAACUUAUUUGAACUCCAUACUUUUUGUGUGUUCAAAAUGCACCAUUCAAAGUCACAACACAAAAUUUCAACAAUUUCUGACUUCAUUUGGUAUUCUUCGUGCAUUUACUUUUUUUUUUUGAGCUAGUUGACGCCGUACUUUUGGUCUACAACUACACCGCCUCCUGUCAGCUUCACCCAUUUGCACCGAAAUAAAGGGAUCAUAAAAGUAGGUCCAUAGUCAAGUUCCCAUAUCUCCUCUAUGUACCCGUAAUAUGUUUCCAAACAGUGCCCAUUCUCGUCUGUUGCAUCAAAGCGGACACCACUAUUUUGGUUGGUGCUCUUUUUAUCUUGGGAAACCGUGUAAAAUGUAUUCUCAUUUAUCUCAUACCCUGGGAAAGUACAUAUAGUCGAAGAUGGUGGCCUGGCCAAACAGUACAGCUCAUCUCCAACGGUGUCGUCAUUCAUGAGAUGUGUCUGCAAGCAACUGCCGAAAGUCUUCUCGUGUUCCCCUUUAAUCCAAGAGUCAGCCUUCCCCGGGUUUUAGGAGCGUAGAAUAUUCUUGUGACUCACGAUAUACGGAGCCACCACGGUGGAAUUGUGUAGAACUGUGUAGUGUGCUUGAGAGAAAGAAUGCCCGUCCAUACAUACUUUUGCUUUCCUUCCUAGUGUGCCUUUUCCUGUCAGCCUACCCUCAUACCGAGAUUCAGGAACACCAAUCGGCUUAAGGUCAGGAAGAAAGUCCACACAAAACUCAAUGACCUCCUCUGUUCCAUAGCCCUUGGAGAUGCUUCCUUCUGGCCUAGCACGGUUACGAACAUAUUUCUUUAAGACUCCCAUGAACCUCUCGAAGGGGAACAUAUUGUGUACAAACACAGGACCGAGAAUUCUAAUCUCUUCGACUAGGUGAACUAGGAGGUGUGUCAUUAUAUUGAAGAAGGAUGGCGGGAACAACAACUCAAAGCUGACCAGACAUUGGACCACAUCAAUCUGUAACCCUGAUAGACUUUCUCAAUCGAUUACCUUCUGAGAAAUUGCAUUGAGGAAUGCACAUACCUUCACAAUUGCCAGGCGAACAUUUUCCGGUAGAAUUCCCCUCAAUGCAACCGGAAGCAAUUGCGUCAUAAGCACGUGGCAGUCAUGAGACUUUAGGUUUUGGAAUUUUUUGUCUUUCAUAUUUACGAUUCCCUUUAUAUUCGACGAGAAGCCAGUCGGGACCUUGAUACUGAAAAGGACUUCAAAGAAGAUUUCCUUCUCUUCCUUAGUAAGAGCGUAGCUGGCACGCCCUUGAAACUGCCCUGGAUGCAUGCCAUCUCUUCCUUUAUGACGUUCCUGGUCCUCCCAUGCUUCCGGUGUAUCUUUUGACUUCCCAUACAAGCCCAGCAAGCCUAGAAUAUUCACGCAGAGAUUCUUCGUCAGGUGCAUCACGUCGAUUGCCGAACGGACCUCAUGGACUUCCCAGUAGGGUAGCUCCCAAAAUAUAGAUUUUUUCUUCCACAUGGGUACGCGCUUAUUAGGGCCGUUAGGAACAGGUUGGCUGCCAGGACCCUUUCCAAAGAUUACUUUUAAAUCUUUGACCAUAUCAAAUACUUCAGCACCAGUACGGAUGACAGGCUUCCCCCGGGGUUCUGCCUUGCCAUUGAAAUGCUUGACUUUUUUCUUUAAGGGAUGCUUGGGCGGAAGAAAACAACGAUUGUACGGAUACACAUUCUUCCUAGAGUUGUCGAGAUAUAUACUUUCUGUCUGAUCCAAACAGUGCGUGCAUGCAUUGUAUCCCUUGUUUGACUGUCCUGAAAUGUUACUAAGAGCAGGCCAAUCAUUGAUGGUUAUGAAAAGCAACGCUCGAAGGUCAAAUUCCUCUUGUUUGUGCUCGUCCCACACACGUACACCUGGUUCGGCCCACAGCUGUAAAAGUUCAUCAACUAAUGGCCUUAGGUACACAUCAAUAUCGUUGUCGGGUUGCUUUGGACCUUGUAUAAGCACUGGCAUCAUAAUGAACUUCCGCUUCAUGCACAACCAAGGAGGAAGGUUGUAGAUACAUAGAGUAACGGGCCAGGUGCUGUGACUGGAACUCUGCUCCCCAAAAGGAUUCAUGCCAUCUGUACUCAGACCUAACCAUAAGUUUCUUGCGUCAGCUGCAAAUCUCGGGAACUCUCUCUCGAUUUUUGUCCACUGCCGACCAUCAGCGGUGUGCCUCAACUUAUCGUCUUUCAUACGAUCUUCCAUGUGCCAUCGCAACAACUUCGCAUGAUCUUUAUUGCUGAACAGACGUUUCAACCGUGGUAUUAUAGGAGCAUACCACAUCACCUUGGCAGGAACCCUCUUCCUGGGUGGCUCGCCCUCAAUAUCACCAGGGUCAUCUUUUCUGAUCUUAUACCGCAAUGCAGUGCAUACCGGGCAUUUAUCCAUAUUCUCGUACUUCUCACCGCGGUAGAGGAUGCAGUCAUUAGGGCAUGCAUGUAUCUUCUGCACGUCUAAUCCUAGAGGGCAGACAAGCUUCUUUGCUUCGUACGUGCUGGCGGGCAAUUCGUUCUUUCUUGGAAGCAUCUUCUUCAUCAUUACCAGCAACUUUUCGAAUGACGAGUUAGUCACACCGGUCUCUGCCUUCCACUUCAGCAAUUCCAGUGUGCUACCCAACUUCUUCUUGCCAUCUUCACAAGUUGGGUACAACAAUUUGUUGUGGUCCUGUAACAUCUGCUCGAACUGCAACCUCUCCUUUUCUGUGUCGCAACCUCGCCGUGCAUCAGAAAUGACCCGGCCAAGAUCAUCAGCGGGCUCAUCUGGUUCCCGUUCUUCAUCCUGAUCUUCUUCUUCAUUGUCUUCCAUUGCGGUAUCAGUAUACACAGGGAACAUAGAUCGGUAGUUGUCAUCAUCGUUUUCUUCUUCUUCAUCGUCGUCUUCCAUCAUAACCCCUCUUUCUCCGUGCUUGGUCCAAACAUUAUAGCCCGGCAUAAAACCGGACCAAAGCAGGUGGCUCUGAAUGACUCUUGAGGAAGUGUAAUCCUUCUCAUUCCGACAUUCAACACAUGGACAAAACAUAUAGCCACCACCAUGCUUGUUCGCAUCGGCUGCAUCUCGAAAAGAAUGCACGCCUUCUCUGUAAGCGGUUGUGCGUCGAUCACCGUACAUCCAUGGAUGACUCAUUUGUGUUAUACGACAGUAUAUCAAAUACAAUCACGAUCCUAAAAAUUAGUACCGCACGGUCUAAACGAGGAAAUAUAGUUGCUAACCUUUUAGAAUAAGUAGAAAUAAAGAGGAAGAGGUUUAAGCGUGGCUCAGGCAUCUCAUAUCGUAGUUGUGUUCGGUGAACUGAAGCGGCAUCGCUCUAACACACAUUUCAACAAACACCUCUAGUGCAUCAAAAAAAAGUGGAGAGCAAGCACCCAGCCACAAUCCUCCAUCCAAGAAAAAUGCAAGGAAGAGGGGAGAGGGGGGCUGUGCUAUAUAUAGGCCGAGGACUUUAGUCCCGGUUUGAGACACAAACCGGGACUAAAGGUGGCGCACAUGCGGGCUGCCCACCGCGUAGCCCUUUAGUCCCGGUUUGGGUCACGAACCGGGACUACAGGCUCCUUACGGGCCGGGACUAAAGCCUCGAGGGAGGCAUUGAGAAUUGGGGCGACGUGGCCGGGCCUUUAGUCCCGGCCCAGAGGCAGGCCGGGACUAAAGGGUCCAGGCCAAAGGCCCGUUUUCCACUAGUGCUUGCUCACUACUAUGCAUAUUUGGUUGACAAUCCUCGUGUUGCUAUGACAUUCAAGUUGUUGGAGUAGGAUCAAUAAAAGGUUUGGGUUUCUAGGUAUGUCAAGAAUACCUUUCCUGAAGUGUAAGGAUGGUAAGUGCACAUGUGUGGUGAACUGAUGAUUGCCUUGUACUUUUGAUGCAACCAUGCCUUGUACUUUUGAUGCAACCAAAACUUUAACUAUGGGUUCUAUGUAGUAGCUUUUUUGACAACCAAGACAAUAGCUAUGGGUUGUAUAACUAUUAAGUUCUAGUAGCACUGUAUGGAACGUUGAGCUAGCCAUGAUCUCUAUGCACUUGACUUAUGUAUGGAAUGUUGAACUAUUAUAUGUGAUGACGUUCAAAAAUUUUGCUAUUGUUUAUUGUGAUAAUGUUAAGAUUUUACAUACUGUAUUUUCCUUCUUUCCAACUAAACAUAUAUGAAUUAUGAGGGUAAUCUCAACACCUCAAGUAAAAAAGGUGACCACAGCCCUUAUUAUUCAUUUAUCCCUUGAACCAGAAACUCCAAUGGCUAUCAUCAACCAUAUUUCAUCCUUUCAACCAAACAAAACAUGAGAUAACCUCAACCUUCCAACCAAACAAAAAAAGGUCUAUCGCGUGGUAUACUCCUGUCAUUGCAGCGAGGUCGUGGACGCUUUAGUAAGUCCGGCAAUCAGUGUGCCAAGCAGCGGAGUGGCACCGGUCACGCAGGACUGAAGAUGUAUCCUUAGAAAUUCCAUUCAACGCUCUGUUUUGCUGAUUGCAUGCAUAUACGUAGUAUAAGCAGAUUGACUUCCCUUGCGUGCGGUAUGCUUUCAGAUCGGUUAUGGCCAUUUUCAUUAGCCAAACUACCCAGGUAGAAACAGAUGGACUUCAUAAACAGGGAUUAGGCGAAUAGGGGGCACUCGUUUCAAGAAAAAACAGCUUUGAAGGCCACUGUCGCCUUUGUCAGCGGAAACAACAAAUGUCAUAUUCCUGAAGCCAAGUUUCAAUUCAUCAUUUUUCUCAACAACGUCACGAACUCAGACGCGCAUCAACAUAGCCUGUUUAGGUAUCUUGUGUUUUCGCCGGAGUGUAAAAACUAAUCGUUGAAGUCGUCUGUAUCAAUAUCCCUUAUCUCUCUAUCGACGCCUCGAUAACCAGAUACCUCUAAAGAAGACACCGGAAAACAAAGACAUUCUACACCGCCUGCCUCUAGAUACCGUCGCACCACCUUCGACCCCAGAGCAAUAGGCUAAACAUGACACCUCCGUCAGAGCCACCAUGCAACACAAACCGGUACGUAACAGGCAUAACUUGACGUCUCCACAUAAAGCGUCGUGCAUAGCAUCCGCCGGUGGCCUCACCUGCCGAGCCGCAUCGAACCUAGCUAGUAUGUUGAUGAAAGGAACGUCCCACACCGCCCCAGCCUCAUAAUGGCCGUCACCACCUAAAGAUCUAGUCUCUGAGACGCCCACAAGUCAACAGAGUCAGCCACCCUCGAAAAUCAGGGGUCUCCGCCCCGAUUCCGGGCUCUAUAGGAACAACCCAGCGUCGCGCCAACCGCUGUCGUCAACCAUACAACAACAACCACCUAGUCCCUCGCGCGCUACCUGGUCAACCGCGAUGGUCCAUCAAUCACGCUAACGAGACGACCACCUUCGUAUCUCCCGCAUGCUGCAGCCCGCCAUCCUCCACAAGCCUGCCCGCCGGAGGAACCGAGCCUCCGGGUUGUCCGCCCCGCCACCAGGCGAGCACCGACUGCCCACGUAGCCACGCCCACCAGCCACCGUCGAAGAUCCCGGGAGCGCCACCCCGACGUCUGAGCUCCUGCAGCGCGAACAUCAGGGCGGAGGCCUCCGGUCGCGCGAACAUCAGGCUGAAGGCCUCCUGUCCAAGCUCCUGUGGAGCUCUUGUCGCACAAACAUCAGACCACGUGUCAUCUAGGGCUGACGGAGGAACAUCAGGCCGGAGGCCUCUUGUCACGCGAGAAUAUAGUAGCCGAGGACCCGCCGUCCACCAUGUGGCGCUUCACCCGACAGCUUCCUCCAAAGGGGCGGGUGACUAGAUCGGAGGCGAUGUAGGAGUGACGGCUAGCCCCCCCCCCCCCCNNNNNCGCGGCCUCCCCCCCCCCCCCCCCCCGGGUGCAAUGUGGGGACGGGGCAAACGAUUUCUUUAAAUGGGAGAAAUUUAACUUCCCCUUCUUUGGACCAACUAGGUAUGCCUACAAUCAUUUUAGUAUGAGUAUCAAGAUAAACAAGGUCCUUCGAAUUUUUUAAAUGACUAUCAAGAUAUUCUUUAUGGAUGGUUCCACGAAAACCAAGAUUGAUUCUCAAUAAAUACGGAAAAACUCAUGUGCAUCACCUGUCAAUUUUAGAAACUGAAUUCGGGUCGUUAGACUGCACAACCACAUACCCAACCACAGAGCAAGAUCUCGGCUGCCAAAAUGAUCCGUCGAUGACCCAUAGUUACCGCUCCCAUAUUGGAGUCGCCCUGACUUUAUUGAUGACACCUGAGAAUUCUUCAUGCACUCGGGGACUACAUAUGAAUGUAUAUAGACAUAUUUUAAAGUGAGGAUUCACUCAUUUUGCUCCGUAUGUAGUCCCCUAGUAAAAUCUAUAAAAAGAAUUAUAUUUAGAAAUAGAGAGAGUACUUAAUUAGUACACUCUUUUUUUUCUUCAAGAAGUUGUGUUUACCGAUGCAUUAAUUAUAAUAUAUCCUUACAUGGCCAGUAAAUGAUGAAGAAUGUCUACAUGCAUCGUUACGUUGCAUUAAUUAUAAUAUAUCCUUACAUGGCCAGUAAAUGAUGAAGAAUGUCUACAUGCAUCGUUACGUUGCAUUAAUUAUAAUAUAUCCUUACAUGGCCAGUAAAUGAUGAAGAAUGUCUACAUGCAUCGUUAAGUUUUCUCUUGAUCCUUUCAUGCACUGAUUUAAUACAUCUUGAAAUCUAGAAAUGUCAUGGUGAUCGAGUAGUAAAAUUGUGACUUAUAAAACAGGAAAAUCUUUUUUUAGACAUGCCCUACAAACCGAAAAGGAUAGUAUUUAUCUUUAGCGGUAUAACAACAUGGCAUGCAUGUUCCCUUCUUCACCUUCACAUGUAUAACAAUACUGUGUGUGGAAAUCAUGUUUACCCAACUCGGUGAUCGCCACAAACUCCAAACACAUGAUCCUUUAGACAUUCGGCAAUGUAUUUGUGUUCAGCCAAGUCAGCAAUACCUUUGCUAUUCCAAAACAUGCCUCUAGUGAUGAACCAUUUUUUGUUUAGAGACAUUUGCCAUCUUUUCUUCACUCAGGUAGACUUGUUUUUUCAUAACGACGGGACAAGCUCACAUAGCAUAAUAUCAUGUAUACUAUCAUCCAAAUGUACUUCAAUCGUGUCCUUAACCAGAUGGGAGAGAAACUUGUCAUCGUAAUUGGCAUCAACAUGUUCAUCUUCCUCAUCUCACACUGAGGAGAAACCGUAAGACGGUCAAACUAAAGUUGCUUAAAAUCCCUAACAGGAAAUUUUACUCAAUUUUCAUUAUGUCAUAAGGAAACUCCAAGGCUAGCAAUAGUUGAAGAACCCUGGAAUUAUCAAAGAAAAAAAAGAUUAACGAGAGGAAGUACCUUCCAAGUCGAGGUUACAGGCUGACGUCCUACGCAUGGCCUUAGCAUUGAAGACAGAGUGACAACCGUUGUGCCUCAGUAUUGAAGGAGUGAACUCGGCAUCAUCAACUGCCCCGGUGCCCCCUAGCGAUGGAGUAGAUGGGUACGGCGACACUGAAGAAGACCGAGGGGUUGCACCUCAACCCCUUCGCCCUCGAAUGUUGGUGUAGAUGGGUGGCAUUAAAGCCCUGGACGAUGUCGCUCCUCCAGAUGUCUUAGGCGGAGAGGACAAGAUGCAUAGCUCCGCCAUAUCCGACUAAUGGUCAGCUCGAACAGACGGGACAAGAUCAGUCCCCAUCAUGUGGGUGACGCAAGUGCGGAUGAUCGUCCCUACAGCGGCGACGAUGUGCUUGCAGCUUCCGCCGCAGGUGCCUCCUCUAGUAGCUUAGAUCAUGACUAAUGCCACUCAUCGAGGCGAGGCGGCGCCAUCGGGUGUGGCAAAGUAGGUGGCAUGAAAGACCAGGGUGUCUAAGUCGUCGUAGAAACUGGCGGUGUGAUUACCAAGGGCACCAUAGUUGAAUGAGCCGGUGGUGUCGAGGCCGAUGGUCAAUACCCCUCAUGUGACAUAGAGUCAGCCUUAGGAGACGAACGUCGAUAUGAGGGUUUGACGGUGUAACAAAGAUGAUGAUCUUAUUUGGCAGUGAUGGAACCCCCCCCCCCCUCUCCCCAGAAAUACGUGAAGGCAUCGAGGCAUCGCAAACUUCAUGGGCGUCGUGCCACGCAAAGUAGGAAUAAUGGAAGAAUCGUUGGACCACAAGGUGGUUUUGGGCCUCUUAGUUGGAUCAGUGCACCCCACUAUGUUCUCCUUGGAAUGUCCCUUGUCUCCACCUAGAUCAUCUCCAUGCUCUCAGACUCGACACAUAAAAGCAGCAUCAGUACGGAAGUCCGAUAUUUCUAGGUUGUAUCAAACUCAUAACCCUUGCUCUCAAUGACCACGUCAGCACAAUCAGAAUUAAUUGUGAUCCUCUUAAAAGAUCGAGGUUCAACACAACUACUUGAAUACGAACAAUUCCUCUGUGAUGCAAGCAAAGAAGGUCAACAUCCAAAGUCACCAUAACCACCGAGCCGACCGGCCAAAGUCAUUGCCAAGAAGUGAUGAAGAGCAUGAGGCACACCAUGCACAUGCACCCAAAUAGGCAGUAGAUUCAAUCGAUGUGGUAUCUCCUCUGAUUUCUAAGGUUUAAACUCGCUAAUGACAUUGUAAGACCUGAGGGAAACUGCAAAGCCGGACACCAAUGCAAAACCUCCUUAUUAGGAGGGACGGAGCCAACAUGCAAGCAUAGGGGGAUAAGUUUGUACAUGGAGGGGGCAAAGUUCAUAUGAAAUGAAUUUUUUUUGGCUACAACAAUCACUAUUAUGAUAGAAAAAACAAUUUGUUAGGGGGGGUCUAGCCCCCCACCCCCUAGAAUCGUCCCUGAUUAGGAAAGAAUAUCAGAAAUGCAUCAUCAACAGUCCAAAAUGUAUUCAAAACAAUCAUUUAUGGAGCAGCGAUUUUGUUUUUUCGCCACAACGUCCACAAAUAUUAUUUCGAGCUGAAAUUUUGUAAGCAUACAAAACUUUUGUCAAAGUUUAGCACAAAAAUAAUUCAGAAUUUUAUGAAUGUUUUUACUAUUUUUUUUUAAUUUACUGUUCAUGAAAGAGCAUAUGAGCUCGGGAGAAAAAACUCCAUGUCCCAGUUUAGUGUGUGAUUGUGUGAACAAGUUCAGUUUUUACCCAUUGCAGCACAGACUAUUGCCAUGCGAGUAAGAAAGAUGGCAUGUAAAAAUAUGGUUCAAAAGGAACAGCAAAAUGCAUAAAUCACUCUAGGUUCAGGUUUCUUAUUGUAGAAAAAAAUGGUUUAGGUAUUCACUACGGAAACAAGUUCGUACAACUGGGCACGCAUGUAAGCAGUACCUGUUCCAUUUAUAAACCUAAUGAAGUCAAGAGAAAAUGCAAAUCCAAAUGCUAAUCCCCGGUUCUUUUCUGAGUCCGAGGGACGUCGUUUAUGACUUUAUAUUGUGUUCCUUCACUGUUGACUGUUGACGAUGGUGGAGCGCGUGCACGGUUCCUUGUGUAGAACAGGGUACAUAACUGCAAUUUGGUAUGCGAGCUCUCGACUGGCAUUUCCCUUGUUUUGUUAUGAAAGAUGAAACUGUUGUCAUGGAUUGGGAGCUCUGGGUUCAGAUAGGAAGAGCAUUUUCCUUUCGGGUAAAAAAUGCAUUUCAAGGAACACAAUAAGCAUGAUUAUAUACCAUGCCAUAGUAAUGCAACAGGGAGACAGAGUUUUUGCGACGCUCAACCUGCGUCUUUCCGGGGUUUUUUCCUUUUAUUCACUUGAUCCUACUAAGCCGGCCUCGAUCCGGUUUACCCGCGCCAUCCCACGGACGGUAUCGUGGCCAACGUCUACGGCAUGAUCUCUAGGAAAGAGUAAACGAAGAUCCUAACUUGCCGCUGCACGAACAAGGCGUGCGUCUGGCAUUACACUUAUUUCAGAUAAGCUACAGUAAACGUGACAAGCUAGUUACAGGAACAUCUAGAUUAACAUAACAUUCUCCCCUUUAAGCUUGAUGUCCUGGAAUCACCAUGCUCAUGCCAAUCUUCUCCUUCAGUUCCUGGAAGCGAAACCUUGCCAAUGGCUUUGUGAGAAUAUCUGCAUGUUGCUCAUUAGUUCUCACAUGCUCUACCUCCAGUUUGCCAUCUUCUACACAGUUUCUGACAAAAUGGUAGCGCACAUCAAUGUGUUUGCUUCUCUCAUGAAGCACAGGGUUCUUGCACAAGGAGAUAGCUGACUGGUUGUCAAUUCUGACUCUGAACUUGACACUUCUUUCUCCCAGUAGUUCCUUCAACAGUCGUGCUAACCAGACCCCUUGACUUGCUGCAGCUGCUGCAGCUAUGUACUCAACCUCACAUGAUGACUGUGCAACUAUUCUUUGCUUCUGUGAGACCCAUGAUACAGGACUGUUCCCAAAAUAAAACAGCACGCCGCUGGUGCUCUUUCUAUCAUCAAUAUCACCAGCAUGGUCGCUGUCACUGUAUCCCAACAGAAUUGGUCUGCUUGCAUCUCUCCUGUAGCUGCAACCUAGAUUGACAGUACCCUUCAAGUAUCUCAGGAUGUGCCUCACUGCCAUCAUGUGUUCUUUCGUGGGCUUCUCCAUGUACCUACUAACAUAACCUACUGAAAAAUUCAGAUCAGGUCUGGUAUGUAGAAGAUAUCUGAGGCUGCCCACUACACUUCUGUAUUCAGUUGAGUCCACUGAUUCAGAUUUACUAUCCUUGCUAAGCUUCAAUCUUGGCUCCAUUGGAAUAUGGGUUGGGUUGCAAUUAGCCAUACCCAUUUUCUCCAAAAUCCUAGAUGCAUAACCAGACUGACAGAGUGUGAUUCCCUCGUCAGUUUGCUUUACCUCUAUUCCCAAGUAAUAGCUCAGCAGUCCAAGGUCAGUCAUACUGAACUUUGAUCUCAUUUGUCUCUUGAACUCAUCAAUGGCUUGGCUGUCACUUCCGGUGAUCACCAAGUCGUCCACAUAGACACCCACUAUGAGCACUGUUUCUUUCAGCUUCUUGCGGUACAAGCCAGAUUCUGAAGGACACCGUUCGAAGCCAAGUUCUGACAGUGUUCUGUCCAGCUUGAAGUUCCAUGCUCUAGGCGCCUGUCGAAGACCGUACAGUGCUUUCUUCAGUUUGUACACUUUGUUGGCCUGUCCCUUCACUUCAAACCCUGGGAGCUGGCUCACAUACACUUCCUCGGCCAAAUCACCAUUUAGAAAGGCAGAUUUAACAUCCAUCUGGUGGAUUUUCCAGGCAAACUGAGCAGCAAGUGCAAUCAGGAGUUUUACUGAUUCAAGGCGAGCUACUGGAGCGAACACCUCAUCGAAAUCUAUCCCCUGCCGUUGCACAUACCCUUUGGCUACUAGUCUUGCUUUGUGUUUCACAAUUUCUCCACUAGGUUUUCUCUUUAGUUUAUAAACCCACUUCAGGCCAAUAGGUCGGUGUCCCCUAGGCAAUUCACAGAGAUCCCAUGUCUUGUUAUCUUGAAUUGCUGCUAGUUCUUCUUUCAUGGCUUGUCUCCAGCAUUCUUCCUUUACUGCAUCGAGAUGGCUAGAGGGUUCUUCCAAACCCAAUAGACACAACCCACUGUACUCUGCCUCAUCUGGCUCGUCUUCUUCAUAGAAGUCUGUCAGCAACCGUUUGCCUUGUGGACCCUGUGAAGGCUCAGAGUAUGGUGUUGCAGAUGCUGUCUGAUCGCUAGAAGAUGUUGCCACCGGAGUUGAGAGUGGGAGCGGCAACUGAACAGGUUUUCCAUCUCCAGCCUGUCGUGUCUUCACUCCCAGCCUUGGUUCUGCUGCAGCCGACAUUUCUCCUGCCUUUGCUAUCACUGCAGGAGUUUCAGGUGAAUUCUCUGCUGUGUGUUCCCCUGAACCUUGUUGUCUCUGUUCUGGAUACAGCACUACUAGUGGCUCCUGAUCACCAGUCUGCGAUGAACCAGGCGAGCUCCAGUCCCAUGGCCGGUCCUCCUCGAACACGACAUCGCGAGCCACCACUAGCUUCCUGGUCUCUGGAUCAUACAGGCGGUAUGCUUUGGACCCUGUUUCAUACCCGAUCAUGACCAUCUGUUUGCUGCGGUCUGCCAGCUUGGUUUGGCCAGGUCCAAUCUUCUUCACAUGGGCUGUGCUGCCAAACGUUCUCAGGUGGUGCACUGAUGGUUUCCUUCCAUGCCACGCCUCAUAUGGAGUCAUGCCCUUCACACUUUUCGUUGGAGCACGAUUCAGCAGAUAUACAGCUGUACUCAUUGCUUCUCCCCAAAACUUGGCCGGCAUUCCCAUGCUCUUAAGCAAGCUCCUCGCCAUGUUCACGACAGUCUGGUUUCGGCGUUCUACGACUCCAUUUUGCUGUGGAGUGUAGGGAGCCGUUCUGAAAUGCUUGAUGCCCCUGGCUUCACAAUACUCGACAAAUUCGACUGAGUUGAAUUCACCUCCUCUGUCCGUUCGCAGACCUUUCAGUCUCAGAUUUUUCUCGAGUUCAGCUGCUGCUUGCACCUUUUUGAUUGCUGUUAGUGCUUCAUCCUUGCUGCGCAGUAACACAAUCCACAUGUACCGUGAGCAGUCAUCUACCAGCAAUAGGAAGUACUCCUUUCCUGCAGGUGUAGUCGGUGAUAUUGGCCCACAGAGGUCACCAUGCCAAAGCUCCAUUGGCAGCUCUGCUCGGUACUGCGCCUGAGCAGGAAACGGAAGACGUUUCUGCUUUGCAACCAUACAUCCGUCACAAAUCUGCUCGACUUGCUUGAACUGAGGCAUUCCGUUCACCAUCCCUUCUGUAGACAAAGAACCCAAUGAUCUGAAGUUCAAGUGUCCAUAUCUCAUGUGCCACAGCCAGGCAUUCUCUGUCGCAUGGUUGAGUAAGCACACAGGGUGCGUUUGCUCAAUAUUCAGGAUGUACAUGCGGCUCCUAGUCCGUGGCACUCUGGCGAGAACAUUUCUUUGUCUGUCCCACAGUGUCAUGAUGCCAUUCUCCCCUGAAUAUUUGCACCCGUUCUCCUCCAACUGACCAAGACUAAUGAUGUUACUCUUGAGUUUUGGAAUGAGGUACACAUCGGACAACACACGAUGUUCGCCAUUCAGGCACUGCAUCAGAAUUGCACCACGACCACAUAUCUCAACUGAGGAUCCAUCCCCAAAUUUCACCCUUCCUUUGAUUGAGUGAUCCAGUUCAGCAAACUUGUCAGGAUCUCCAGUCAUGUGGUUACUAGCCCCUGUAUCUAAAUACCAGGAGGCAUCUCGGGAACCGGUGAAUUUAGGAACCACCUUCUCCUCAUUCAGGAAAACUUGCUCUGACAGAGUGUCGCUCAACUGGACUAUUUCACAUGUUUCCAGCAUCAGCAACGUUGGAUCUUCUUCUUCCUUCUCUGUCAGGUUUGCCUUUUCCUUCUUUGGCUCGGGGCAAUCAGACUGGAAAUGCCCCUUCUCGUUGCAAUUGUAGCAUCUGACUUUGGCAAUGUCGAACUUCCCUUUCUUCUUCUGCUUGCCACGGUCACCAUAUGUACCCUUGCUGUCCUUCGUGCGAUCGGUCUUUCCUCCCGACUUCUGACCGGAAGAGGAACCAGAACCGCCGGCACCGCUGUUCUUCUUGUUCUGCAUGAGCUGCUCCAACGCUCGGGUCAUGAGCAUGAGCUGAUCCUCCUUGGCGCCACCGCUGCGACGCCGCCCACGCUGUCCGCUCUCGAACGCUGACAACCUCCCGAGGGCCUCAGAGACCGACAUGGUCUCCAUGUCGCCCCAUUGCUCUAUGGUGUUGACUACGUCUGCAAAUCUUUCGGGCACAGCAUUGAACAGAACAUCUAUAACAGCCUCAUCACUGAUUUUCUCACCUAGCGUGCGGAUCUCCGCGACGAGCGUGGUCAGCUUCUGACCGAACGCCGUCACUGACUUGCCGUCGUCCAUCUGCAGCCGAUCGAGCUGGCGCUUCAGCUGUUUGACUCGAGCCUUCUUGACGCGGUCCUCGCCGACCCGCAUCUGCCGGAUCGCCUCCCACGCCUCCGCCUCCGUCUCGUAUUCCGCGAUGGCCAUGACCAUGGCAUCGGGGAGCGACUGCGAGAGCGCGGUGAAUGCAUCCUCGUCCUUGGCCUGGUCGUAGUCGCUCUUGCCGUCGACCGCUGUCCAGCACCCGAGGGUGCGCAUGAUGAUGCGCAUCUUCACCGACCACACCCCGUAGUUAGAGUCGGUGAGCUGGGGGUAGUGUACCGGUACCCCGCCGCGCGACGAUGCCCUGGCUGCGGUCGCGCCUCCGCUCGCGCUUGCGUCGAGCUCGUCCGUCUUGCCCGGCGGCUUGGCACCAAUCUUCGACAUCGCAGCCUGAUCCGCAACGCCCACGCCACCAAUUCCUCCGCCACCAAAACGCCUCCAACCCUAGUGCUCUGAAUACCAAAUGACAGAUCCUAGACCUAGACUCAAUGCGAUUUUGUGGAUUGGUGGAAAACUUACAAACGCUCGCUCUGAACUUUUCUCCUACUGACGACGAACACACGACAGACAGUUUACAGGGAGACAGAGUUUUUGCGACGCUCAACCUGCGUCUUUCCGGGGUUUUUUCCUUUUAUUCACUUGAUCCUACUAAGCCGGCCUCGAUCCGGUUUACCCGCGCCAUCCCACGGACGGUAUCGUGGCCAACGUCUACGGCAUGAUCUCUAGGAAAGAGUAAACGAAGAUCCUAACUUGCCGCUGCACGAACAAGGCGUGCGUCUGGCAUUACACUUAUUUCAGAUAAGCUACAGUAAACGUGACAAGCUAGUUACAGGAACAUCUAGAUUAACAUAACAAAUGAUCAUGGCAAUAUCAUGACCUGAUGAGCUCUUUGGUAGCAGGGGAAUCAACACUAUAUAUAUGCAAGCGGCAGCUUAUAUACCACAACACGAUGCAUAUAUGGAGGUCCUCUGCUGGGUGGGUGAAACAGUCCAUACUCCACAGUUUUGUUUCUGAGAUAUUAGAGUAAACCAAUAUAAAGAGCACAUUUUACUUCACAAUAUUUGUGAACCUAUGCUCCUGGGUUGUCACGUCCUCAUGGUCGAAUGCGUUGAGUGCGGUGCACUUGCUCUACUCAAUCACAAUUACUUGUCUUUGAGCAGCCACCAAUCAAAGUGCUUCCCUAUUAGUUUCCCCAUGGGCAACAUGGGUACUUCAAGACCAAUGUCAACUUCAUCAGCGCAAACAAGGCGAUAUGUUGUAUGAGGAUGUUCCAGUGGUACUUCUGAGUUGGUAGGCUAUUUUGUUGUGCGUGGUGGUUGAUGAUACCAGGUUUUCGCUCCACAGUAUAUCGUUCCUGAUGACAGACGUAGAUGGUGGGUUUCCUGGUAUUGUCACGAGCUCGCUUCUUUCCUUUCCCUUCUUUCUAUUUCUGAUCCGAAAGACAGUGUAUUUCUGUUAUGAUAAAAUGGAAAUGGGAGGAGCCCGGUUCGGAAAAAAAAAAUCAGCGCAAACAACGAAAUGCAUAUGGAAACCA